rnacentral:lncRNA from 1 species
GUUUUUUUUUUGACGUUUUGGUUUUCCUCCGGUCUUCCUUAGCUUUUCGAUAAAAAAUUAAAAAAUUACGUGAAAAAACGCAUUUUCUUUCUUUUUUCGCGAAAGUCACGGUUUUUUCCACGAGAGGCACGGUUGUGCUUUAGCGAGAGUCACGGCCAUGCCUUUCGAAAACGAAAAAAACGUGCUUUUUGUUAUUUUUCUUUCGUGAGAGUCACGGCCGUGCCUCUCGAAAAGGGAAAAACAAAACGCGUUUUUUUUCUUUCACGAGAGUUACGGUUUUGCUUCCGUGAGAGGCACGGUUGUGCUUUCGCGAGAGUCACGGCCGUACCUCUCAAAAAGGAAAAAAAUACGUGUUUUUUGUUUGUUUCUUUCGCGAGAGUCACGGUUUUGCUUCUGCGAGAGGCAUGGUUGUGCUUUUCGCGAGAGUCACGGCCGUGCCUCUCGAAAACGGAAAAGAACAUGUUUUCUCUUUUUUUUCCUUCCACGAGAGUCAGCACGGGUGUGAUUUCGCAAGAGGCACGGGCGUGCCUCUUUCGAAAAGGGGAAAAAUCGUGUUCCCGGUUUGGUUUUUUCGCCCGGUUUUCCCAUCUGUUUUUUUUCGUGAAAAAUAAAGUUGAUCAAAACCUAUCAACAUGGGAUUUAGUUUUGAAGAUUUCGACACGAGGAAUCUAAUGAUGUAAACGGUUCAAGAUUUGGACGCACGGUUUAAAAGAUAAAACGUUUUAAAUAAACGAAUCUACGAAAAAAGGGAAAACUCUCAGGUUGCGCCAAGUGGCGCUCUGCAUGUGCGUCACUUGUCGCGACCUAGAAAAGUGAAGUGUUCUUUGCAACGAGUACUCCUUAAUUAGUUAUUUCGGACUGUUUAUCUUUUUUAGAAUUUAGAAAUCUUGGGUUCGUUCUUUUUCCUGAAUUGAAAAUAAAAAACAUGGAUCCAAAAAUAUUAACUAAUUUGAUAGAUGCUCACGAAUUGAGAAAAAAGUUCACGGAUUAAAAAAAUUCACAUGUUUUAAAAAUGUUGUGGUUUUAACAAAUGUUCACGGAUCUGAAAAAAAAAAUCAUGAAUUUCAAACAAUUUCACCGAUUCAAAAAAUGUUCAUGGAUUUGAUAAAUAUUCAUGAAUUUUAUAAAAGUAACAGAUUUGAAAACAAAUCACAAAAUUAAUUUUUUCAAUAAUUGGAAAGAAUCAUGAGUUUAAAAAAUGUUUAUGGAUGUAAAAAAUAUUUAUAAAUUUAAGAAUAGAUAAGGAAAAAAACUAAACCCAGGCAAACAAACCAUAAUAAACAAAAAAACGAUCGGAAGCUUCUGAAGCUUCCCAAACCGGUUUUUCUUUUUUGUGCUGAGCUUCCCAAAUCGUUGGGAGCUUAACAGAAACAAUCUCUAGAUGGGCCGGCCCGUGAAAAUAUAACGAAGGGAAUACGUGCGCGCGUUGUGUGCCGCUUUCACUUUAACGGGUGCUCAAAGCGCCGAAUAGGAGUUGACCAAAACCUCGGCCUGCAAUCUCCCGAGAGUUAUUUGCAUUACACGAGUCUGCAUUUGGGAACCGUCGAUUUCAGCGUUUCUCCCUGGUCCAUCCAAAAACCAUAUGUACUUCCUGAUUUCGAAAAUGCUUGCUUGGCGCGCCACGAAACAUGGAGACUGGAGAGAUGCCUAAGUGGACUAAAGCGAUGAACUGCUAAUCCAUUGUAGAUUCUAAAAUAAGAGGCUAGAAAGUUCACUAUAGUACAAUUAUAGUAAAGUACUCCCUCCGUAAACUAAUAUAAGAGCAUUAAAUAGUGCUUACAGAGGGAGUAGUUGUUUGCAAGCUAAGGGCUAACUUGAGGAGCAUGUGGGCUUGUUUCUCUCCGUGGCCCGGUCAACCAAACAACUCGGAUUUGGCCAUCUAGCAUUUGGCCCUGUAUACCUGUUAUGCUAGAAACCGAACACGUUCUUAGAGCAACUCUCACCAUAUAGCAUAGACUGCCAUAAUAAUGACUUUGGCCGAAAAACACACUCUAGCAGAGUAAUGACAUUGGAUCAGGCAAUAUGGAGCUCAUGUUAUGAUGACUCUUUGCUUACGCGCUGGUGCACCGGAUGCACCAAUGGCUUUUGAGCCAUUGGGUAUGACACAGAGGGUUAGGAUUAGGCUCGAGAAUGAAUUGGUAGAAUAUUUGACAUCAUGUUAUGCUAAAAUUAAUUAAUCCGCGCUCUACUCUUUCCUCUCCCAUCAUUGAAUCAAUGUUAUGUACUCUCUUUCUCCAAACAUAAAUGCAUUCAUAUCUUUUUUUAGGGAUAAAUACAUUCAUAUCUGUUGAACCAUACGUCUAAAUCAGUUUUGCUACCACUAGUUUUUUUACGAAAUGUUCAAAACAAGAUCAAUGCCGAAUAUAUUUUGAAAUUGAUGUAUUUUAAAACUUAACAUAACAAUUACAAGCUUUUAAUUGUCUUGUAAGUUCUGUAACCCUGCCUCUCCCUCUCCCUCCACACAUCAAUCCCACAUGCAUUUGGUUAAUAAGAUCCAAAUCAAGUUUCAAAAAACAAAAAGAAACAUAUUCAACAUUGAUCUUGUUUCAAAUACCUCGUCAAGACAAAAGUUGCCAGUCAAAACGUAUUAAAAAUCAAGACAUUCGGUUCAAAACAUAUGGCCAUCUUUGUGUUCGAAUUAAAAAAUUGAAGACACGGAUUUAUUGAUGAGAGAGUGGGAUGUAAAGUGCAGGCCUGAUAUACUAAACUAUAAAGUUGCUUUUGCAAAUUUGAUAUGGUCCAGAAUUUGACCCAUUGCCUUCUCAUCUAAUGGUCCAAAAGCCAUUGAUGCACCUGGUGCAUAGAUUGGGUUGGUGCACCGUAUAUGGUCUCCAGGCCUGAGAGGAACCCUACUGUUAAUAAGUUUUAUUCUCGGGUAUUUGCCACCAAAGACUUGACAACAGACCAACAGUAAUAUGCACAGAUAAAUAAAGUUUUACAAUUUUACCCAGAACAGAAAACACAGGUGCACAAAGGUUACACAGUAUCUUGACAAAGCAACAGGCUGUAAGCAGUAGUGAAAAAACAUAUAAGACAUGCUUACUUAGCAUAACAGGCUAUGGGGGGUGGGGGUUAAAUUGAAUACUCCUACUUGAGCGGUGACAACAGGCAUCUCGCGGCCGGUUUCUUCUUUCACUGGAUAUGCUGUUCUUCCAGUUUAUCCUUUCACUGGAUGUGCUUGCUAUUCUUCCUCCAUCUCUGUGGAGCGCACUGCUCAGGAGGAGUCGUGAGCUGGGCUGUCCGAAUGCAUGUCCAUGGAUGAGUCGUUUGAAGCCGUGGGAUUCGGCUCGCGGGCUAAGCCGUUCGCAAAGUAGCCUGCAUCCCCACCCUGAUCCAGAUGGUAUGGUUGCAGGCCCCGGCGCACGGGGCUGGAUAGUGCGUUAGAAAAGACCGCCGAGUUCUUGGGCUGCGUCAACCCUGGGUUUCCUAGUGCAAAUAAGCUUGCAGAUGGUUGCUGGUUGCUUGUGUUGGGCAUAUGCACAGUAGCAUGAGUGCUUUGGCUUGCAUAUUGUGAUCUUGGAGAGGCCAAUGGAUUGUCGCCUCCAUACUGAAUCUCAUGCUAGACAAACAUACAGAUCAUAAACAUAAGUUAUCAAUCUUAUGCUAGAAUGGCGCAAAAGGAUAAAAGUGGUGCAACUAGUAUUUGUUAGGGGGCUAUGGCUAGAGGUAUGGAUUGAUAAAGGAAGCAAUAUGUGCACAGGAUCAGUGUUGUGUGUAAGGAUGGUAAGCUCAUCUUGUUCAUUAUGCAUCAUUGUUCACUAAGAAACAAGAUGGCAAAACUUGAUAUACCAGUCAGACCAUCAUGGUCUGUGAAAUUGAAAUUCACCCAACUUCUUGAAGUCCAUGUUUUAAUUAUGAAUAGUUCCCUUCCAAUAUAGAAGACAGGAAAAAAAAUACUGCUAACCUGGACGUGCGAGGCUAUAUCACCAACUGUAAGCCUCAAACCAUUUUCAUGCUGUCUUAAGAUCCAUUCAUACAGCUUUUCCUGCUCAAAUGGAACAAACAAUAAUGAAAAACGUCGUGAAAAAAGGAAAGAGAAGAAAGAACAGAUUUCUGCCAACCAAAGAAAGAACUUUGAAAAGGUGGAAGGUGCUAUUCUAUAAAAGAAAAUACAACUGCUUCUUGCUAGCAGGUACAAUUCCUGAUGGAUUCCACGCGUUGGCAGGAUUAAAUGGUUCAACACUUGGGACGUAUACCGUUGUCUAGAAUCACUAUGUCAUGUGGGGCCUUAAUAUAGCCGGCACCCGCAUGAACGUGCAGUGCACAACUAGCACAAGAAAGUUAGGCGCCCAAGCAGUUAGGAUAAGAGAAGAAAGCAAAUAGGAUAAAAGUUAUCAUUAAGAAUAUGUUAGUAAUUUGAAUCCUAAAUAAGAUUUAGAUUGACUCGUAUCAGAUUCGUAUUUUGAUUGUUAAUACAUCUCUCCUUUAUACGAGAGCAAUCAUGCGAUGAAUUAAUCCCCUGUAUACUCGUACAAACUUUACUUUUUUAUACCAACUCCUACAAAGUUUAGUACUUUACUGAUUCCUCAUCACCUCACGACAUGGCUGCUGCAACCAUGGCCGGGGGUUGAGGACAAUGACCCAACACGGCUGUUCAUUACAUACAAAAGCCUGUAAAUAUGACACGCAAAUUUUCUUCUGUUCCUUCUAUUGACACUUUUGCAGCCAACAUUGUGAAGUACCGUGUGUGUUAAACAUAUAUGGCAUGCAUAGUCAUAAAGUUGGUAGAAAUUAUUCAUAACUCAAAGGUAACAUGUUAAAAAAACAUAUAGUUUGCAGUCCUGAAACAAAAAUUAAGAUACUCAGGAUGUAUCCAAUCCUGACAGUAGUUCAUUAUAGGGAGAAGUUGCAAUACCAUACAUCAAUGCUAUGAUUAGUUUUAAGCGUUGGUAAUUAAACUCUGGUCAAAUCCCACAUUAUCUGUAUAGAUGAAACUAUUUAGCUGGCGUUUAACAGCAACAGUCAUCAGAACAACAUGACGAUGAUCAUGACAAAUAAAGAAAUCUUAUUAGCAAAAAUAACGACCUAGCUGUUCAACCACUCUGCAAUGUAAACCCACUAUAAAAUAUAAGUCAUAUGAACACAAGUGACCAAACCACAUCCGGACUUUACACUUGCCAGUUUGUAAAUAAAUGUUUGUAUUGGUGCAUCCUUUAGUGUUUCGUUUAAUGAGUUGAGCAGAUGAUUCUCAGGAAAAUAUUUUAAUGCAAUUGACUUCUACUGCGUGCCAUUGUAGUACUACGGAAACUAAAACUAGGAAGAGGGCAUACAACAUAGCGAUGAUGAACAACAUGUAAGGUUCUGACCAGAACCACAACUUAAGAUACUGAUUCCAAUGCCAAGGAUGCCUUCCGUGUUUGGAAGAAGCACUACACACCUAACGGUGAGACUUUCCACAUAGCAGUGCACUAGUUGAAGUAAAGCUGAAAAGGAUGACUCCUUAGUACUAGCCCAGAAGCAACCUGCCCCAUAAGCGAAGUCUCCCCUCUUCCGCUUUGCAUACCCUCCAUCGCCAAAGAAAGAUGGCCAAUUCUAAUCAGAGUUGUUGUACGCAGCAGUACAAGAGUGCUCUAUGAAUUAUUGGCUAUUGCACAUCAAUAUAUUAUUCAGCGAUGUCAGAGCACACACUGUGACAAGGAACUUCGGCAAAAGUCAUCAUCCCCCACCCCCCAGAGAAAUACUCAGAAUUGCCACACGUAACUGCAAAGGUUGAAGCAGAAUUUGCAGGUAAACGGAGGAAAUAUGCCCAAAACUGAAACAAAUUUCAUCACGCGUCCAGCGAAAGGCCCAUCUCGCUUGCCCCUGAACGAUCUAAUUACAAGAACAAUCUACACUCGCCACAACCACAAAGGAUAAGGCUCUAGCACUCAAAUUCCUCAUCGUCCGAGUCUUAACCGCCCCUAAUCCAAAUUACUUUCACCACAAGAAGGGGCGAAUUCAACGAAACAAAAUCCAGUCUCCCACACCACUGACACAACACAAGUCAGAAACAGCAGCAGCGCACGAAUCAAUCAAUCAAUCAAUCCGUCAGUCAAUCAUCAGUUUAACCAACAACCACGCCAUGAAAGAAACAGUCAAGUCAGAACGUACCAUGGCGUGGCGCUCGCCGGCCUGGAAGGAGAGCUUCUGGCCGCCCAUGGCGAGCGUGUAGAGCUGCGAGAGCGAGUUGGCGGCGCCCCGGAACGCGCCGUACAUGGCCCGGUCCGUCUCGUCCAGCCGCGCCGCCUCCGCCUUGCGCUUCUUCCCCGUCAUCUCUCCCCCGCGCUCCUCCGAGCCCCGAUCCGCCGCGGCGCCGUCCAAUUCGGCCCGAAUCGGCCGCCGGAACCCUAGACGAGUGAGAUGCGCGCGAGGCCCUGGCGCGGAGACGAGGGGGGCGAGGAGGAGGAUGGAUGGAGGUCGGGAGGGCGUCGCGUCGACACGAAGCGGCGGCUUUACGUCUGUAGGUCUCCUCCCACCCGCUUUAUUUUAUUUAUUAUUAUAUUUAUCCCGUGCCGCUCUUGCUUUAUCGCUGCGGUGGGCGCGCGUCGCUGUUGUGGUGUGGAUGGCAGGCGGGCCCGGGGCCCGCCUGGCGGCGAGCGAGGGGAGGAAAGGGGCACGUGGAGUGGGAUUGGGGGUUUGGCGCACGUGAGGCUGAUGCGACUGGGCCGAUGGGAGAGGGGACUGACGGGUGGGGCCACUGGGGGACGUCUGUGUGGGGCAUGUCCUACUCGGCGGUGUGUGUUUUUUAAGGCUCGGAGCUUUCGUGCCGACUCCUUUUUCUUGUCAGUUGUUUAUACAUCGAUAUCCAUUGGAUUGGUACCCUAAUCAAUCUUUUUUUAACCCUCAUAAGUGUCACACGGCGACGAACACAUGGCAACUUCAAACUUUUUUAUGAAAAAUGUAAUAACGUAAUGAUGACAACUUUAGUUGUCAAGCAUGACAACUUCUUUUCGAAUGGCAAAAGGAAGAGAGAAGGGGGGGGAGGGGGGUCAUAUCGCUAUUUUAGUUGUAAAAAAGGUAUGGGUCAAAGUGUCACACAAGUGGCAUUUAUCAUUUGGGUGUUUUUUAUCUUAUACUAAAUCAGGGACAAUUAUUAUGGCUGAGACUAUGAGAGAGAGCGUGGGUUGCUAUCCUGCAUGUAGAAAUAGUAUUGUGCAUCACUAGACAAAAGAAAUUAGUGGCAUCAUUGAUUUUGCUCAUGUUUCUGAUGACUUUGUUAAUUUUAGAAACUCCAUGACUACAAUCUUCGAUAGAUGUUUGUGUGAGCGACGUGUGGUGAUGGUGAUAGUAAUGUUUCCAUGUUGUACUCGGUGUUUCUUGAAAAUAAAAUAUUGAGCAAAAAAAGGAAAAAGGAAACUCUAAGCAAGAGUGUGUUUGAAGGGCAUAGAUUCUUUUAUUUUAUUUUUCAAAUAACCACGUAUAUAUUUCAUUAGACAAACAGAUUACAAAAAAGUACACAUAUGGUCCCCACAAAAGGUACAUAGAUAUCUUGCAAUAUUGUAUCAAUGACUCCGCAAGAAGUAAAAUUAGAAUUUCACUCAGGCAGAAUCUUGAGCCAUGUUGAAGACGAUGCCCAACAUCGUCCUUCGCCGCCGUCGAGGCAAUGUUAAAGAAAGAGAGGAAUUGCCAUCAUACUUAGAUUUAGAGGAGCACAUCCGCAUACAAGGAUGCUUCUUGAGGCGAUAAACUGGACCGCCGCAAGUGACAAUACCAAAUUAGUGUUCAUUAUGCACACUUCUGUAAGCAAGCAGAGGAAUUAAGCAAAUUAUUUUUUGACAGAAUUAAACAAAUUCUUGUGAUUCAAACAUCUUCGCUUGGGCUCUCCUUGGAACUAAUGAAUUUUAGAGGAUUCUAAUCCUAAUAAAAAUAUGUUCAUUAUGUGUGUAUCAUAAGAUAAAUUACAUGAACUCCCUAGGAUAUAUUGAUCAUGUCGUGAAAUGUAUACUCAUGUACUGUCAUAUCCAUUUGUCAUACCUCCCGGAUUUAAAAAAUGCCCUGAAUUUGUAGAUGUUACAAGAUAAAACAGGGAUAUAAGCCAUGUACAAAUGUGCCAGAUGCUUGAUGCGGUUUUAAUUUUAUUGUUAUUUUAUUUGAACUAACAUAUGCAUAUGUGUUUCAUGGGAUUCUUAGUACAUAUGAAUAGGAAAAACAAGAAGUAGAUAUAAUGAGACAUCUUCCAAUCUCAAAUUUGAUACAUUGCAAUGAGCAAUAUGUGGUGUUUGUUGUUUGUUUGCACAACAUGAAACACACACACACACACACACACACACACACACACACAGAGAGAGAGAGAGUUCAACUGAUAUAACAAACGAAUUGUAAAUUUCAUAGGAAUUUAAGAUCGUUUGAUUCAUCUAUAUUUUUUCCUGUGUACCUUGUGUGUUUUGCAAGAUUAGAGACCACAAGAAUUUUUCCAGUGAAUUAUUAUAAGGGCAAUUCCAUAAGAAAAUCAUCAUAGAGUCUAACCUCACAAAAAAAUGUGUGUGUGUCUGAAAAUUGUGUUAAACAAUUAAUCCUUGAUUCUUCACAAAAUAUUCAUGUGUUUCUUCCAUGGCCAACCAAACAAGUUCUAUUACAUAACUUGUUGUUUCGAGUUCCUACAAAAAUCAAUGCUCGCAAUAUUCAAUUUCUAAUUUUUCAUAUAAGUUUGUUAUCGAAAUCAUGUGAAUCAAAGAGACACCGGAUGAAUUAUAUUUUUCUUUCGAAUUUAGUGCAAAUUGUUAGGGUAAAUUCAUCGAUUUCAAUCCUGCAACGAGAUAAACUCUGUAUAGGGCAACUACCCAAGGAUUGAAACUGAAAUUCAUUGAAUCAAAUACGCCAAAUUUCCAGUACUUGAUGUUCUUCAACUUAUACAUACUCCAAUGAUAUCAGUAAGUAACAAACUCAUUGAAAGUUAUUUGUAAUGAACUAUGCAUAGUUUGUCUAUAAUUGCACAACAACUUGACUCGGGUUAGCAUAGGUCAAGAACACGCAAGCGUGUGGACAAGAGUAUAGUGCCCUCACCUACGGUGUGGCUUCAUCUAUACAGAACAAGACUAAUCGUGUAAAACUAGACUGGAAAUUCCAAUGAAUGUUUCUUUGAAAGAUUUUUUUUUAAAACCCAAUGCUUUGACAUCCGAUUAUUGCCGUCCAUAGCGCCAUCAUCCUCGUAGUAUUGUGAAUGUUUAUGGUUCUUCAUAUUUCUUAUUAUGUGGAUCUGACUAUGAAUUUAAAUUUGUGCAGCGUAUAUUCAAAAUUUUGUAUUGUUUCCAAGCCCGGUCAUUAGUGAUCUUUUGUGCCAUUUGGUCUAAAAAAAUCAUGUACUCCUAGAGAAGCAUCACGGGGGAUGGGAUGAUCACAAACAAGAAUAAUCGCGGAAAUUGCUUUUGGAGGCCGAGCUCCAUGAAGGCCUCCAAAUGCAAAUUUUGAAAUAAGUGAAAUUCAUAUUUUUUACAUUUUCAAAAAUUUCUGUAAAAAAUAUAGAGAUAGAUGAAGGCAAAGUGCACAAGUGUGUAAAUUUUCAGGACGAAAUACGUUGAAAUGAAGGUUGUGCAAAAAAGACAAAUCCGAGGCUUCACACUCCUAGACCAUGAAUUUAUCUUUUUUGUAAAGGUCGCAAUUCAACGUAUUUCAUCCUGAAAUUCUACACACGUACGCCUGCUUGUUUACCUGUACACGUCUUUUCAGUUUUUUUUAAACCCAAAUUUUUUGAAUUUUGAAUUUUGCAAAAAAUCGGCCUCCAUGGAGGCAAAACGCCAUUCUCAAAUAAUGGACACUAUCUAUAUUUAUAUCUAUCGGUACUUUUACAAAAAAGUCCCUCAGUUUCUGAGAAUUUAAGGCGCAGUCCUAUGUUAAGUGUUUUCUGAAGAUAACGUUUCAUUUUUGCAAACAAGACCCUGCAUUAGUUACAAUUCCAUCAGUGCUCCUUAAUCCUUAUCCAUUGCCAUCCUCCACCUCCCGGCACGCGCUGCCGCUUGCCGCCGGCGUCCACGCCGCAGAACUCAAGAAAGUGUGAUGCGUCGCAGCGGGCGUCCCGACCGCCCGAGCCCAUGAACGGGGUGAGGCGUCGCGGCGGGCGUUGGAGACCACAGAGGACAGGAAGUCGCUGAACGUGGCCUUGGCCGGCACAGGGACGAGCUCGCGGGCGCGCUUGAGGCAGGCGAGCCUAGCCCGCAAGUCCUCCUGCUGCUUGGCGAUGCCCUUGGCCUUCCUGCGGGCCUUGUCGGCCUCGGCGCUGGCCUUGGCGGGCCGAGGCGUCGCGGUGCAGGCGGCCUUCGUGCUCUCUUGGGGCAAGGUGUGCGCCACGCGAGGGCGGUGCGACGAAGGAAACAAAAAGAGAGACAAUAGAAACCAGGGGUCUUGAAACCUCGCAGGCCCACGCUCACCAAAGACAUGCAGAACCUUCACUCGAGCAGGGCAGAGAGAUGGCGGACAACAGCUUCGCGACUGAGCUGGGCUGAGGCAGCUGCGUGGCCCACGCGGCGAACGAACGGGCGCUCCUCUCCGUCGUCCUCCUCCCAACGGUAGGCGAGGCAGGAAGGCGGCGGAUUCGGAUAUCACGGCGCAACCUCCCUACUCAACAGUCAGAGAGCGUGGCCGACGAGCUGCCUGAGAUGUGUGCAUCGCGGCCUGAGAUGGAGACCCGGAUGCUGGCCGGGAGGGAAGGCGCAACAGUCAGAGAGCGUGGCCGACGAGCUGCAGUUGGAGGCGCUCGGCUUGGAGGCACGGUCGAGCUGGGGAGGGGAGAGAGCCCAGCGAGCGGGGAGGCGGAGCACGCUUGCGGGUGUAGAGUCUAGAGAGAGGGAGCGCCGGGAAGGGAGAGCUGGCCGACGGCGACGGGGGUCUUGCAAGCGAGAGGAGAGAAGAGAAGGGAAUCGAUGGAGGCAAACGGAGUCUCGGCCACAGGCUAGAGAGGAGCAGCGUGGGGCUUAUCCCCUUGCAUGCGUGUGUGGCCUGGGGCUUAUCCCCUCGCGUGCGUGCGUGUGGCUGUGGUCGGCGUCAGGAUGCCUGGCAGCCAUACCUGGCCAAACGGGCCGGCCCGGCAUGGCAUGGCCCGGCCCAUCGUAAUCGUGCCUGGCCCGGCACGGCCCGCCAGGGCACGAUUACUAUACGGGCCGUGCCGUUCUGGCCCGCGUGCUGCGCCCCCAGGCCCAGGCACGGCCCAGUUAGUAAACGGGCCGGCACGUUGACCUGUUUAGCACGGUGGGCCGCAUAUUUUCAGCCUGUUAUUUGCCGCAUUGAGCGUUUUUUAGCCUAUUUUUAUAUACUGGGCCAUAUAUAGAUGUAUAAAAAAAUAAAAAAAAACGUAAUCGGGCCGUGCCGUGCCGGCCCGCGUGCCCAGCCUCCAGGCCCAGGCACGGCCCAGGGCGUGCCGCGUGCCAGGCCCGGCCCGUUUAGACCGUGCCGUGCCUGGCCCAAGGCGGGCCGUGCCGCGCGUGCUCACAGGCCAGCCCGAAAAGAACGGCCCAUUUGGCCAGCUAUACUGGCAGCCAGGCUGGGCCUUGGCUGGGCUGAGGUUUUAUUUUAUUUUGAUCUGGAUGCAGCUGAGACCAGCGGUGGGCAAAGCCAGGUGUCGAUCAGCCAACAAAAAUUCUGACUGAUCAGCCACCAGCACUACUCUAUGUCUCCGCCUCACAUUUUUUCAUUGCACCAACAUGUGAGAUCUCUCUGAAUCUUGUCAUUCUGUGUAUGUGUGUGGAUUUUUUUUUGAGUGAACUAACCAGCUAACCACACUGCUUGGUAAUAUAAAAGAAAAAAAAGGUUGAGCUAGCACAUGCAUUCACAUCAUCAUUGCUCAAUCCAUACAAACUUCUUUAUCUCAAUCCAUACAAACUUAAUCUGCUAUCGGGCAAUAAAAUUAAAAACAAACUCUAAAACAGUAGAUUAAAUAAAAACAAAAUUGCAAUGAAGUCUAAAAGGGCCAAUCCCCUUCUGCAGCCCAUUAUAACAUGACGCCAACCAAACCCCACCACCGCAAUGGCAAUCACAAGGCGUCGCCGUUCACGUCAUUCAAGCGACACACCAAAGAGCGCAAUGCCGCCUUCCACAUGCCAUUGCACCUAUUGUAAUUGGAUGAUGCGCCAGUCAUCGUACAAGCUCUCAAGCCCGCCGACGGAUGCUCCUCCCGUGGCGACUGGUCACGACAGAUCGGGUAAGGUCGAGGGAGACGCGGUUGCUCGAUGGGACGUAGAUGCCGAUCGAGGAAAUGCCUUCGAUGGAUGAGAUGUUUGAGGCCAUUUGAUCCGGGACAUCAACAUCCAUGUGGUCCCUACCUUUGAUGGUGAGCCAUCUAGCUUGAUUCACAUAAAUUUAUCACAUGCACCAUCAGCUUAGGUGGGAACAAGGGUAAGCAACAAGGACGGUCUUGAGCAAUUCUUAUUGGGGCUCAUGAUAAUUUUUCUUCUCCCGUUGCAACGCACGGACAUGUUUGCUAGUAUAUAUCUACUAUUAAAGGGCUGAUUGCUUCUUACUCCCGAAUUAUCGUCCGUUUCUUCAUACAUCACACGAUUUUCGUCCGUCGUCGUCAGCUUUUUUUUUGAGAAAAGCUUGGUAGGCUUUAUUAAUCAGCUGAAAUGUUUGCAGGAAUUACAAUUGGGUCGUGUGGAGUACCCAACCAUAGGUGUCUUCCAACAGGAAGAGAAACACCAAACCUAGCUAGCUUAUGAGGUUCAAAAUUUGACUCUCGAAAUUCAAAGCAAAAAUUACAAGAAUUAAAAGUGGUAGAAGUUUCCAAAAUUUCCUUAAUAAUAGCGCCAUAAUCUCCUCCUGCUCCCUGGUGAAUGUGUUGUAUCACUUGCUUGCAGUCCGAAGCGACUUGAAUAUUUUCCAUGCCAAGAUCUUGCGCGAGAGCCAACCCCUCCCUACAUGCAAUCGCCUCGAGCGACGGAGGAUCAACUAACCCAUGGAUCACAAUCAUGGACGAGCCAAGAAAAGCUCCAUCCCGAUCUCUGCAUACCGCGGCUGCUGUGCCCACAGUCUGAUCUGUUGAGACACCUGCAUCAACAUUGAUUUUAAUAAAGCCUUCUAAAGGAGGAAUCCAUCUGCUAGUAACUCCAGGUUGUGCCCUUGCUGCUAUAUGUGCUUCUGGACGAGGUGCAAGCUGUUCUAACUCAGCAAUAAAAUUAACAACAAAGUUGUAAGUCGCAUAUGGACUCUGGUUUAUCCCCUCGUGGAUCAAUUUCCUCCUAGCAUACCAGAUUGCCCACAAUGUAACAGUCAUCUUUGUCAGCUCAUCGUGACUAAGUACAUCCAUCAUAGAAAGCAGCCAAGCUCGCGCUGAAGGUUCCGAUGUUACAAUCAUAUGUUCCAAAAGUUCAUGGUCCACCAAAGCCCAUACACAUCUUGCCAUGUUGCAUUCUAAUAGGCUGUGCCUCCAAGAAUCUUGUGCACCACACACAUAGCAUUCCUCAUGGUGGGACAGAUUUCUGUUUUUUCGAACAUCUUCUGAAGGAAGUGAGUUUUUCGACAAGCGCCACAGAAAGUUCCUCACCUUUGAUGGAACCGACACCUUCCACAACUUCUUCCAUGACUUAACAUUUUCAGUGUUGUUUGAGGAGGACGCUCUCUCCUCUAGCCAGUCCUCCCUGCGUCUCUUAGUUUCUGCCAACAUCUUGUACGCAGACCGAACGGAGAAGAUUCCAUUCUUCUCGAAACCCCAAGACCAAAAAUCAUCUAUUAUCCGUGUGCACAACGGAAUACUUAAUAUAGCAGCCGUAUCAUAAGGGAGGAAGACUUGUUCAAUCAGCUCAGUAUUCCAUCUCGCAUUUGUUUGAUCGAUUAGCUCCGCCACCAAAUGUGGUGGGUCAUUAACUCUCGCCACUAUAGGUCUCAUAUUCUCUUUGCGGGGAAUCCAGUUCAUAUUCCAAAUGUCAAUGGUGUUUCCUCUACCCACCCGUCGGAUCAGUCCAAGUUUCAGAGUGUCACGACCCUCUAUCAUGCCUCUCCAAAUCUGGGACGGGUGUCCACCAAGCUCUGCCAUUAGAAAAUCAAUGUCAGGGAAGUAAACUGCUUUAAGAAUUCAGGCACUUAGAGAUCCAGGAUUUUCAUGUACCCUCCACGCUUGCUUUGCCAAAAGAGCCAUAUUAAAGAUUUCAAAAUCUCGAAAACCCAAACCUCCCAUAUAUUUUGGCAUGCUCAUCGUGUCCCAAGAGACCCAAUAAGGUUUCCGCUGACCUUGUUUGCUACCCCACCAAAACGCUUUGAUCAUUGAUGUUAGUUGCUGGCAUAAACCUCUGGGCAACUUGAAGCAUGACAUGGAAUAAACUGGCAUUGCUUGAGCUACAGAUUUAAUUAAGACUUCCUUACCAGCUGAAGAGAGAAGCUUUUCUAUCCAUCCUUUUAUUUUACUCCACAAUCUGUCCUUUAGAUAUUUAAAAGCACCAUUUUUUGAACUUCCCACAUCAGAAGGCAUGCCGAGGUAUUUUUCAUUUAGUUGCUCGUUAGGCACGUGCAAGAUGUUCUUGAUAGUCGUCUGAACCUCCUCUGAACAUCCCUUACCGAAGAAAAGGGAGGACUUAUCCUUAUUUAUUCUCUGACCCGAAGCUUUUGCAUAUGUCUCCAACAAAAGAGAAACUUCUUCAGCUCCCUCACUAUUUGCUUUAAAGAACAUCAGGCUGUCAUUUGCGAACAACAAAUGAUUCACCGAUGGGGCCGAUGAAGCCACUUGUAUGCCAGUUAGGUUAGAUGACUGAACACUGGUUUUUAAAAGGCACGAAAGGCCCUCUGCUGCCAGCAAAAAAAAGGUAUGGUGAAAUAGGAUUCCCUUGACAGAUACCACGCGUUGGAAUGAAAACACCAAGCUUUUGCCCAUUAAAAAGAACUGAGAAAGAAACCGAGGUGACCAUGCCCAUAACAAUGUUCACCCAUCUAUUUGUAAAUCCCAGUUUCAACAUGACUGCCCUCAAGUAAGUCCACUCCACUCUGCCAUAAGCCUUCAUCAUGUCCAGCUUCAGUGCACAAUGUCUGUGUUUUUGGGCUUUGUUUCUCUUCAUGAAAUGUAAGCACUCAUAUGCAGUGAUAAUAUUAUCAGUAAUGAGGCGUCCAGGAACAAAGGCAGACUGUUCCUCAGAAAUUAUCUCAGGUAACACUUUCUUCAGACGGUUAGCAAUAACUUUUGAAGCUAUCUUGUAAAGCACAUUGCAUAAACUAAUGGGGCAAAACUGUGUAAGGAGUGUGGGAUUUUUUACCUUAGGAAUCAAGACCAAGACAGUAUUAUUUAUCUCAUGUGCAUUUUCUACCCCUUCCACAAUUCUGAGAACUACUCUUGUUACUGCUUCUGCACAAAUGUCCCAAUGUUUCUGAAGGAACUGUGCUGGAAACCCAUCUGGUCCCAGGGCUUUCUGGGGCGCCAUUUGAAAAAGAGCUGUUUUUACCUCAUCUGCAGUGUAUGGAGCAUUUAACAUUUCAUUCAUUUGAUGGGUUACUCUACGAGGGAUAGUAUCCACCACCGCCUGCAUGGACUCUGUUCCUUCAGAUGCGUACAGAUUUGUGUAGAAGGAAUUAGUCAUCUCCCUCAUUUCCUGCACAUCUUCUGUUUUGCUCCCGUCCGGCCUCAAUAGCGCUUUAAUUUUAUUUUUGGCUCGCCUCAUAUUCGCCCGCAUAUGGAAGUAUUUGGUAUUUUUGUCGCCUGCCCUAAGCCAUUCCAGCCUAGCUCGCUGCUUCCACAUCAACUCUUCUCUCUUGUAAAGUUCAAGCAGUUCUGAUUUUAUCUCUAAUUCACGCUGAGUUGGUGCAGUGCGCCCUGGAAUUGACCGCAGAAGAUCUAAUUCCCUUUUUAGUUUCUUUAUUCCUCUUCUCACUCUGCCAAAAGUUUCUCUGUCCCAGUUCUGCAAUGAUUCCGAGAGGGAAUUGAGUUUCGCAGCCAGGCCUGCUACUGAAUCAGGCACUUCAGGGUACGGUGCUGUCCACACAUCGGCCACCGUCGUCGUCAGCUGCGUUCGAUAUUUCCUUGCGUCGCUCGGUUGGGCCUCUAGAUGGGCUUUGUGCGUUUGUAGGUCUACCUGGGAGCCCACAGAGGGGGUAAAAAGCAGGGACAAAAAAUGUGUUUGGACCAGGAAUUGAACUCACAACCUCACGGUCAUGUAAAUACUAUGCUACUAGCCAAGCUAGGUGGUUCUUUGGUUAAAAAAAAAUUAAUGUCAUCUAAUCUAUUAAAUAGUACCACCUCGCCUUUUUUACAUCCAAUCGUUCUAACUUAUAUAGGUCCUUCAUUUUGCAAGGUAUCAAGGAGUCAUCUCGAAAAUCAAUAAGUGAAGGGUAUAAAUUGAGUUGCGGCUUUAAAGAGGAUUUCAACCGACGUUUGAACAUGCAGCGAGAGAAAUAAAGAAGGAAAGGAUUUGAGAAGGAAUUGAGCCAAAAAUAAUAAGGAAAGUAGUCCAUGCUAAAGGAAAAUGGAUUUGAGAAAAAAAAUUCAACAUGACAGAGAAGCAAGAGAAAUAAAGAAGGAAAGGAUUUGAGAAGGAAUUGAGCUAGCAGUCCAUGCUAAAGGAAAAUGAAUUUGAGAAAAAAAGUUCAACAUGACAGAGAAGCAAGAGAAAUAAAGAAGGAAAGGAUUUGAGAAGGAAAUGAGCUAGCAGUCCAUGCUAAAGGAAAAUGGAUUUGAGAAAAAAAAUUAGACAUGAGAUAAUAAGGAAAGCAGUGCAAGCCUGUCUCAGCGUGACAGAGAAUAAGGAAGCUAACAAGGAUCCAUGCAUGUUGAGCAUCUCUACUUCUAAUGGAGCAGUUGAUAGUCUCGUUUUCAGGGUUUUUUCGUCCCAUCUCCCAUGGUUUUUUUGGUACCUCGUUCCACCUCACACUGAGCCGCCAUGAACUGAAAAAACCGCGUACAGAAGCCCCCCACCCGCCCCCACGCACUCCAGGGCCUAACCUCCGAUCGCACCCAAGACAAUCCAGCGAAAAAAACCUAUGAAAAUUAACCAAGGAAAAAAACCUAAUGGAGGAGUUGGUAGUCCGGUACGGUUUAUUUUCAACACUUUCCUAAUGACAAAAGAUCACGGAUCUAACUUUCCUACCUUAGCCAAAUCAACAAAUCUCUCUCAUUAAUGCAAUUUGCUUUAGGAAACAAAUAAUAGAUUCUUUCCUACCUUAGCCAAAUCAACGGAUCUCUCCCAUUAAUGCAAUUUGCUUUAGGAAACAAAUAAUCUCUAAUCUCUAUCUCUAAUCUCUAAUUCUCUAAUAAUAAUAUAUAUAUAUAAUAUAAUAUAAUACCUAAAAGAAACGCAGCGUUCCGUUUCCCGUCUUACAUCGUCGAACCCUUCGUCGAGCCUCCCUCCCGUGCGCUGUUGGUUUUCCCUACGUACGUUCCACCCCAAACGUGAUUCGUUCUUCUUAAUUACGUGGUCCCACCCUCAUGCGAUCCGGCGAAAGAACUAGGAAAACCGUCAUACCCAUGCAUGCAAGCAACGAAAAAUCCACGCAAGCCGUGUCUCCUCCUCCCUGUUCAAACCCUAGUCGCCCCUUCCCAGUUGACGCCGCUAGCGAGUAGGGCGUAGCACAGGCACCAGUGCGGCCCUUCCGCGGUCCCCCUUGACCUCGCAAUGAAACAACUCGUCGGCAUCGAUGACGAGACGGUGCAUCUGGUGUUGAUUCCCGUGGAUGGGUCAAGCAGGACAGGGGGCGGUGGAUACGGGACAUAGCCAUGAAGUCUGCUUCGAUGCGCGCCCAAUAUUGUCUCAAGUGCAUGGGUCGAUCCUGGACGGCGGGCGAUGGAUCAAGGACGUACAUAGCAGCUUUCACCUACGCAAACGACUGACUACUCAACCUCCUCUCGGCGGUGGCAGCGGCCAGGUCUAGUUAGCUACCGUUUAUCUUUAAUACAUGGCAUGAAAGACGAUCAAGAGGAGCAAUCAUAAGCAGCGAGGUGUUCCAGGGCUACGAGCGCCAGUACUGCGACUCUGCUCUACGAGGUCUUCGCCAAGAUCGCCACCCUCUCUUCUCGUGCCUAUUUCUAUUCGUUGUUGUUGGUUUCGUCUUACAUGGUGAGAUCUAAGCAUACAAGAUGAAGCAGAGGCUCUCUGAGAUCCAGUCCGAUGUGCAGGAUACUGAAUCGCUGGUAAAUACUAGAUUGUGUUUUAUGAUUUGAUCAUCCAUUCCGCUGCCUUACAUACUGCCUUUGGGACACUAUAAGAACUAGUCAUGUGAUUUUGGCAGGUGGAGGCUUCAUUUUGGAUGUAGGUGAAUGUGUGAUUUCUAGAAGCUCUGUAUAUUAACUUCAUGAUCUGCUCUUGAUUUCCUUCUUGGGGACUUGAUUUGAAGAUUUGCCAGCUACACCAUCUAAAAAUCAGGCUGCUGAUCCGGGUACAUUGCUACUCGGCCUUGCGUUCAAUUGAAGUUUUGUGAGAGGAACUCUUCUGAAACUUCAAAAUGAGUAGUCCUCGUAUUUUGAGGUUGCUACUUGCACAUUGUUCAUCUUUCUGUCAAUUUUGUCCACUAUUUUGCACUCUAUUUGCCAAUUUGAUUGCAUGGUAUAGGGUGCGAUGGUGGCAUGGGCGCCGCACGGGGUAGGAGCCCUGCACAGGCCAGCCCAUGCCGGGAGCUAGCAUCGCGCCAACGCCUCCAUGAACGCCGCCAUGACGCGUUGCAUGGUGUCGCUAUCGGGUGUGGCCCCCAACAUCGCGAUGUGUGCUCAAGCAUGUCGUUUGUGGCUUCAAGCCGCCUGGUGGCCACCGUGGCAUCGUGGCUAAACAAGAGGUUGGUGAUGAAGAGCCUGCGCUCGUCCAGGCGGAUAUGGCGGAGCAUCCACGGCGAUGUGGACGCGGCUGCAGUCGUGGUCGGAUGGAGAAGCCUUAGGUCCUGGUAGAUUAUCUACUGAUGGCAUAAUCCUCCAGAGCUACAAUAGCCAGAAAGAUGCCUUGCCGUGGGGAAGCCUCGCUGCUGGGAAGCGCCAUCAGUGAUCUGAUUUGAAGAGUUCAACAAGAGGUCAAUGGAAUUCUCAUCUCCAAUAUGUUCACAUUCUAACAUGUCCUUGUUGAUUCAGUUGUUACAUUGUGUCAUAGUUCACUUGUUUUCCACCUUUUUUCGUACUACUGUGCACUGGAAUGUCCAUGUUUGCUAAUUUGCAGAUUGAAUUGUUCUGAUAAAAUAUACUAAUAUAUGUCACUUCUUUCUGAAAGGUAUCCAGAACUCUUAACUGCAUUGCUCCGGUGAUAACUUUUUCUUAUUGUUGCCAUUUUGUGUUCCGGUCAAGAUUUUCUUCUUUCACAGACAUUAAAAGUCUAGAACUGGGAUAAAAAUAAAUAAAGUUUGGAAUAAGCUAGAAUCUUAAUAAUCUACAAUAUCUACUCCACAUGUGUGGAAUCAAUCAUCCAGAUAUAUAUACUCGGAUUGAUGCAGCCAUGCCCAAUAAAAAUCUUCAUGUAAAUAAAUCGAAGGAUUCUCUACUGAUGAAUAGGGAGCUGCACCAGACAUCAUAUGGUCUUUUCAUUUUCAUGGUAAGACUAGACUGACCUCAAGAUUUAAGUAUCUCGGAACCAUGCUUUUCCUGCGUAGUUUUCAACAUGCUAUUACAUGGUCUAUUAAGUGCGUGUGAAGAUUCUUGAAUUUACCCUGACAUUAUGGAACCUUUGUGCUGAAACAAUUAAAUAUGUUAAUCUAUAAUGAUAGCAAUGAAGACGCGCAGUUCCGUUAUCAGUACAGUGCAGAUGGUCAUGUGGCCAUUAUGGCCUAUCUUCAGUAUUGUGGUUAACAUUGACAGGAUCAAUGUAAUCUUCGAAACGACAUGUUCCAUUUUCCUAUGUAUUUUUUAUUCAGAUGCCCUACUACUAUUUUAUUGACUGCGGGCAAUCUAUUUUCUAUGGUAUGAUUUUGUUUGUUGGAGAGAUACUAGCUGCCCCUUUUCCACCUGUUAGUAAGUUUUGUAGCAGACUUCUUAAUUGAUAUUAUAGACAUUCUAAGAUAGACGUGGUAUUUUCAGUUAGACUGAUUUCUUGUAUUUUAUCCACUGUUAUAGGAGUUUGUUACCUUUGUUUUUUGAUCGAAAAUUAAAAUGUGCAUGCAUUGUCGAAGUUUGUGAAUUAGAAUUAAUAACCUUCUGGUUAUUGAUCAAUAUAUAUAUAUCUUGGAUGUCCCAUAGCAACGCAAGGGCAUUCAACUAUCCUUGAAAAAAAGAACUGUCAAAUUGCUCAAGAACCUGCCAGGUCAAGCCUCUCCCUCCGCUGUUUGGCACUGCCUACCCCCUCUCUCCCGAAUACCGCGACAGGGAAGAUCCGGUCCAUCGAGAGAGAUCGAUGAUGUCGACCAUUGAUGUCGCAUGGGAGAUCUGCGACAGUGGAAACAUGCUCCCCUUCACGCCAACGGUGCCUCGAGGUCACUGACACGGGUGACCCAGCGAUUCGCCGCUGCCAUCCCGAGCUACUUUGCCAACGUCGUGGGCGUGGGCUACUGGCCUUCCAGGUACUCGACCGCCGAGCUUAUCGAAUUGGGCCGCCACGGUGCCGCUAGCCGCCGCCGGUCUCACUAUAGAUGCAUCAUGUGCCGUCGGCCAUGCCAGUAUUGUUGGGGAACGUAGUAAUUUCAAAAAAAUUCUUACGCACAAGCAAGAUCAUGGUGAUGCAUAGCAACGAGAGGGGAGAGUGUGAUCUACGUACCCUUGUAGACCGACAGCGGAAGCGUUAGCACAACGCGGUUGAUGUAGUCGUACGUCUUCACGGCCCGACCGAUCAAGCACCGAAACUACGACACCUCCGAGUUUUAGCACACGUUCAGCUCGAUGACGAUCCCCGGACUCCGAUCCAGCAAAGUGUCGGGGAAGAGUUCCGUCAGCACGACGGCGUGGUGACGAUCUUGAUGUUCUACCGUCGCAGGGCUUCGCCUAAGCACCGCUACAAUAUUAUCGAGGAUUAUGGUGGAAGGGGGCACCGCACACGUCUAAGAAUAUGAUCACGUGGAUCAACUUGUGUGUCUAGGGGUGCCCCCUGCCCCCGUAUAUAAAGGAUCAAGGGGAGGAGGCCGGCCCUAAGAGGGGCGCGCCAGGGAGUAGGAUUCCUAUUCCUAGUUGGAGUAGGUUUCCUCCUUUCCUAGUCCAACUAGGAGAAGGGGGGAAAGGGGGGAAGAGGGGAAGGAAGGGAGAGAGGGGCCGCGCCCCAAACCCCUUGUCCAAUUCGGACUGGGCUUGGGAGGGGCGCGCGCCACCUCCUGGUCCUUUCCACUAAGGAAGGCCCAUUGCCUCUUCCUCGUAUUCCCGUAACUCCCCGGUACCUCCGAAAAUACCCGAAUCACUCGGAACCUUUCCGAUGUCCGAAUAUAGUCGUCCAAUAUAUCGUUUUUUACGUCUCGACCAUUUCGAGACUCCUCGUCAUGUCCCCGAUCUCAUCCGGGACUCCGAACUCCUUCGGUACAUCGAAACUCAUAAACUCAUAAUAUAACUGUCAUCGAAACCUUAAGCGUGCGGACCCUACGGGUUCGAGAACUAUGUAGACAUGACCGAGACACGUCUCCGGUCAAUAACCAAUAGUGGAACCUGGAUGCUCAUAUUGGCUCCCACAUAUUCUACGAAGAUCUUUAUCGGUCAGACCGCAUAACAACAUAUGUUGUUCCCUUUGUCAUCGGUAUGUUACUUGCCCGAGAUUCGAUCGUCGGUAUCUUAAUACCUAGUUCAAUCUCAUUAUCGGCAAGUCUCUUUACUCGUUUCAUAAUACAUCAUCUUGCAACUAACUUAUUAGUUGUAAUGCUUGCAAGGCUUAUGUGAUGUGCAUUACCGAGAGGGCCUAGAGAUACCUCUCCGACAAUCGAAGUGACAAAUCCUAAUCUCGAAAUACGCCAACCCAACAUUCACCUUUGGAGACACCUGUAGAGCUCCUUUAUAAUCACCCAGUUACGUUGUGACGUUUGGUAGCACAUAAAGUGUUCCUCCGGUAAACGUGAGUUGCAUAAUCUCAUAGUCAUAGGAACAUGUAUAAGUUAUGAAGAAAGCAAUAGCAACAUACUAAACGAUCGAGUGCUAAGCUAACGGAAUGGGUCAAGUCAAUCACAUCAUUCUUCUAAUGAUGUGAUCCUGUUAAUCAAAUAACAACUCUUUUGUUCAUGGUUAGGAAACAUAACCAUCUUCGAUUAACGAGCUAGUCUAGUAGAGGCAUACUAGUGACACUCUGUUUGUCUAUGUAUUCACACAUGUAUUAUAUUUCCGGUUAAUACAAUUCUAGUAUGAAUAAUAAACAUUUAUCAUGAUAUAAGGAAAUAAAUAAUAACUUUAUUAUUGCCUCUAGGGCAUAUUUCCUUCAGUCUCCCACUUGCACUAGAGUCAAUAAUCUAGUUCACAUUGCCAUGUGAUUCAACACUAAUAGUUCACAUCACCAUGUGAUUAACACCCAUAGUUCACAUUGUCAUGUGACCUAUACCCAAAGGGUUUACUAGAGUCAGUAAUCUAGUUCACAUCAUUUAUGUGAUUAACACUCAAAGAGUACUAAGGUGUGAUCAUGUUUUGCUUGUGAGAUAAUUUUAGUCAACGGGUCUGUCACAUACAGAUCCGUAAGUAUUUUGCGAAUUGUAUGUCUACAAUGCUCUGCACGGAGCUACUCUAGCUAAUUGCUCCCACUUUCAAUAUGUAUCUAGAUCGAUACUUAGAGUCAUCCAGAUCUGUGUCAAAACUUGCAUCGACGUAACUUUUUACGACGAACCUUUUUGUCACCUCCAUAAUUGAGAAAUAUUUCCUUAUUCCACUAAGGAUAAUUUUGACCGCUGUCCAGUGAUCUACUCUUAGAUCACUAUUGUACUCCCUUGCUUAACACAGUGUAGGGUAUACAAUAGAUCUGGUACACAGCAUGGCAUACUUUAUAGAACCAAUGGCUAAGGCAUAGGGAAUGACUUUCAUUCUCUUUCUAUCUUCUGCCGUGGUCGGGCUUUGAGUCUUACUCAAUUUCACACCUUAUAACACAGCCAAGAACUCUUUCUUUAACUGUUCCAAUUUUUGAACUACUUCAAAAUAUUGUCAAGGUAUGUACUCAUUGAAAAAAACUUAUCAAGCAUCUUGAUCCAUCUCUAUAGAUCUCGAUGCUUAAUAUGUAAGCAGCUUCACCGAGGUCUUUCUUUGAAAAACUUCUUUCAAAACACUCCUUUAUGCUUUGCAGAAUAAUUCUACAUUAUUUCUGAUCAACAAUAUGUCAUUCACAUAUAUUUAUCAGAAAUGUUGUAGUGCUCCCACUCACUUUCUUGUAAAUACAGACUUCACCGCAAGUCUGUAUAAAACUAUAUGCUUUGAUCAUCUCAUCAAAGCGCAUAUUCCAACUCCGAGAUGCUUGCACCAGUCCAUAGAUGGAUCGCUGGAGCUUGCACAUUUUGUUAGCACCUUUAGGAUUGACAAAACCUUCUGGUUGUAUCAUAUACAACUCUUCUUUAAUAAAUCCAUUAAGGAAUGCAGUUUUGUUUAUCCAUUUGCCAGAUUUCAUAAAAAUGCGGCAAUUGCUAACAUGAUUUGGACAGACUUAAGCAUCGCUACGAGUGAGAAAAUUUCAUCGUAGUCAACACCUUGAACUUUGUCAAAAAACCUUUUUGACAAGUCUAGCUUUGUAGAUAGUAACACUACUAUCAGUGUUCGUCUUCCUCUUGAAGAUCCAUUUAUUUUCUAUGGCUCGCCGAUCAUCGGGAAAAUCCAUCAAAGUCCAUACUUUGUUCUCAUACAUGGAUCAUAUCUCAGAUUUCAUGGCCUCAAACCAUUUCGCGGAAUCUGGGCUCAUCAUCGCUUCCUAUAGUUCGCAAGUUCGUCAUGGUCUAGUAACAUGACUUCCAGAACAGGAUUACCGUACCACUCUGGUGCGGAUCUCACUCUGGUUUACCUACGAGAUUCGGUAGUAACUUGAUCUGAAGUUACAUGAUCAUCAUCAUUAGCUUCCUCACUAAUUGGUGUAGUAGUCACAAGAACAGAUUUCUAUGAUGAACUACUUUCCAAUAAAGGAGAAGGUACAAUUACCUUAUCAAGUUUUCUACUUUCCUCCCACUCACUUCUUUCGAGAGAAACUCCUUCUCUAGAAAGGAUCCAUUCUUAGCAACGAAUGUCUUGCCUUCGGAUCUGUGAUAGAAGGUGUACCCAACAAUUUUCUUUGGAUAUCCUAUGAAGACAUAUUUCUCCGAUUUGGGUUUGAACUUAUCAGGAUGAAACUUUUUCACAUAAGCAUCACAACCCAAAACUUUAAGAAACGACAACUUUGGUUUCUUGCCAAACCAUAAUUCAGAUUGUGUCGUCUCAACGGAUUUAGAUGGUGCCCUUUUUAACGUGAAUGCAGUUGUCUCUAAUGCAUAACCCCAAAACGAUAGUGGUAGAUUGGUAAGAGACAUCAUAGAUUGCACUAUGUCCAAUAAAGUACGGUUAUGACGAUCGGACACACCAUUAUGCUGUGGUGUUCCAGGUGGCAUGAGUUUGUGAAACUAUUCCACAAUGUUUUAAUUGAAGACCAAACUCGUAACUCAAAUAUUUGUCUCUGCGAUCAGAUCAUAGAAACUUUUUUUCUUAUCACGAUGAUUUUCCACUUCACCCUGGAAUUAUUUGAACUUUUCAAAUGUUUCAGACUUAUGUUUCAUCAAGUAGAUAUACUCAUAUCUCCUCAAAUCAUCUGUGAAGAUCAGAAAAUAAUGAUACCUGCCGCGAGUCUCAAUAUUCAUCGGACCACAUACAUCCGUAUGUAUGAUUUCCAACAAAUCUGUUGCUCGCUCCAUUGUUCCGAAGAACAGAGUCUUAGUCAUCUUGCCCAUGAGGCAUGGUUCGCAAGCAUCAAUUGAUUCAUAAUCAAGUGAUUCCAAAAGCCCAUCAGCAUGGAGUUUCUUCAUGCGCUUUACACCAAUAUGACCUAAACGGCAGUGCCACAAAUAAGUUGCACUAUCAUUAUUAAUUUUGCAUCUUUUGGUUUCAAUGUUAUGAUUAUGUGUAUCACUACGAUCAAGAUCCAACGAACUAUUUUCAUUGGAUGUGUAACCAUAUAAGGUUUUAUUCAUGUAAACAGAACAACAAUUUAUUCUUUUACUUAAAUGAAUAACCGUAUAAACAUGAUCAAUCAUAUUCAUGCUCAACGCAAACACCAAAUAACACUUAUUUAGGUUCAACACUAAUCCCGAAAUUAUAGGGAGUGUGCGAUGAUGAUCAUAUCAAUCUUGGAACCACUUCCAACACACAUCAUCACUUCACCCUUAACUAGUCUCUGUUUAUUCUGCAACUCCCAUUUUGAGUUACUAAUCUUAGCAACUGAACUAGUAUCAAAUACUGAGGGGUUGCUAUAAAUGUUGGGGAACGUAGUAAUUUCAAAACAUUUCCUACGCACACGCAAGAUCAUGUGAUGCAUAGCAACGAGAGGGGAGAGUGCUGUCUACGUACCCACGCAGACCGACUGUGGAAGCAUUGACACAACAUAGAGGAAGUAGUCGUACAUCUUCACGAUCCAACCAAUCAAGCACCAAAACUAUGGCACCUCCGAGUUCGAGCACACGUUCAGCUCGAUGACGAUCCCCGGACUCCGAUCCAGCAAAGUGUCGGGGAAGAGUUCUGUCAGCACAACGGCGUGGUGACGAUCUUGAUGUACUACAGCAGCAGGGCUUCGCCUAAACUCCGCUACAGUAUUAUCGAGGACUAUGGUGGCUGGGGCGCCGCACACGGCUAAGGAAUAGAUCACGUGGAUCAACUUGUGUGUCUAUGGGGUGCCCCCUGCCUCAGUAUAUAAAGGAAGGAGGAGGAGGAGGCCGGCCAAGGCUAUUGGUGCGGCCAGGAUGGGAGUCCUACUAGGACUCCAAGUCCUAGUAGGAGUCCAUCAAGAGGGGAGGAAGGGAGAAGGAAGUGGAGGAGAAGGAGAGGUGGCCGGCCCCCUUUUCCCUAGUCCAAUUCGGACCAAAGGGGAGGGGGGCGCAGCAGCCCCUUGGCCCUUUCUCCUCUUCCCACUAAAGCCCAUCAAGGCCCAUUGCUUCUCCCGUAACUACCCGGUACUCCGAAAAAUACCCGAAUCACUCGAAAUCUUUCCGAUGUCCGAGUAUAGUCGUCCAAUAUAUCGAUCUUUACGUCUCGACCAUUUAGAGACUCCUUGUCAUGUCCCCGAUCUCAUCCGGGACUCCAAACUCCUUCGGUACAUCAAAACAUGUAAACUCAUAAUAUAACUGUCAUCGUAACCUUAAGCGUGCGGACCCUACGGGUUCGAGAACAAUGUAGACAUGACCGAGACACGUCUCCGGUCAAUAACCAAUAGCGGGACCUGGAUGCCCAUAUUGGCUCCUACAUAUUCUACGAAGAUCUUUAUCGGUCAGACCGCAUAACAACAUACGUUGUUCCCUUUGUCACGGUAUGUUACUUGCCCGAGAUUCGAUCGUCGGUAUUCCUAUACCUAGUUCAAUCUCGUUACCGGCAAGUCUCUUUACUCGUUCCAUAAUACAUCAUCUCACAACUAACAUAUUAGUUGUAAUGCUUGCAAGGCUUUAUGUGAUGUGCAUUACCGAGAGGGCCCAGAGAUACCUCUCCGACAAUCGGAGUGACAAAUCCUAAUCUCGAAAUGCGCCAACCCAACAUGUACCUUUGGAGACACCUGUAGUGCUCCUUUAUAAUCACCCAGUUACGUUGUGACGUUUGGUAGCACCCAAUGUGUUCCUCCGGCAAACAGGAGUUGCAUAAUCUCAUAGUCAUAGGAACAUGUAUAAGUCAUGAGGAAAGCAAUAGCAACAUACUAAACGAUCGAGUGCUAAGCUAAUGGAAUGGGUCAUGUCAAUCAGAUCAUUCAACUAAUGAUGUGAUCCCGUUAAUCAAAUAACAACUCCUUUGUCUAUGGUUAGGAAACAUAACCAUCUUUGAUUAACAAGCUAGUCAAGUAGAGGCAUACUAGUGACACUCUGUUUGUCUAUGUAUUCACACAUGUAUUAUGUUUCCGGUUAAUACAAUUCUAGCAUGAAUAAUAAACAUUUAUCAUGAUAUGAGGAAAUAAAUAAUAACUUUAUUAUUGCCUCUAGGGCAUAUUUCCUUCAGUCUCCCACUUGCACUAGAGUCAAUAAUCUAGAUCACAUCACCAUGUGAUUAACAUCGAUAGUUCACAUCAUCAUGCGAUUAACACCCAUAGUUCACAUCGCCAUGUGACCAACACCCAAAGGGUUUACUAGAUUCGGUAAUCUAGUUCACAUCGCUAUGCGAUUAACACCCAAAGAGUACUAAGGUGUGAUCAUGUUUUGCUUGUGAGAGAAUCUUAGUUAACGGUCUUUCACAUUCAGAUCCGUUAUGUAUUUUGCAAUUUUCUAUGUCUACAAUGCUCUGCACGGAGCUACUCUAGCUAAUUGCUCCCACUUUCAAUAUGUAUCUAGAUCGAGACUUGGAGUCAUCCACAUUAGUGUCAAAACUUGCAUCGACGUAACCCUUUACGGCGAACCUUUUUUUUCACGUCCAUAAUCGAGAAACAUAUCCUUAUUUCACUAAGGAUAAUUCUGACCGCUGUCCAGUGAUCUACUCCUAGAUCACUAUUGUACUCCCUUGCCAAAUCAGUGCAGGGUACACAAUAGAUCUGGUAUACAGCAUGACAUUCUUUAGAGAACCUAUGGCCAAGGCAUAGGGAAUGACUUUCAUUCUCUUUCUAUCUUCUGCCGUGGUCGGGCUUUGAGUCUUACUCAACUUCACACCUUGUAAUACAGGCAAGAACUCUUUCUUUGACUGCUCCAUUUUGAACUACUUCAAAAUCUUGUCAAGGUAUGUACUCAUUGAAAAAACUUAUCAAGCGUCUUGAUCUAUCUCUAUAGAUCUUGAAGCUCAAUAUGUAAGCAGCUUCACCGAAGUCUUUCUUUGAAAAACUCCUUUCAAACACUCCUUUAUGCUUUACAGAAUAAUUCUACAUUAUUUCCGAUCGACAAUAUGUCAUUCACAUAUACUUAUCAGAAAUGUUGUAGUGCUCCCACUCACUUUCUCGUAAAUACAGGCUUCACCGCAAGUCUGUAUAAAACUAUAUGCUUUGAUCAUCUCAUCAAAGCGUAUAUUCCAACUCCGAGAUGCUUGCACAUUUUGUUAGCACCUUUAGGAUUGACAAAACCUUCUGGUUGUAUCAUAUACAACUCUUAUUUAAUAAAUCCAUUAAGGAAUGCAGUUUUGUUUAUCCAUUUGCCAGAUUUCAUAAAAAUGCGGCAAUUGCUAACAUGAUUUGGACAGACUUAAGCAUCGCUACGAGUGAGAAAAUUUCAUCGUAGUCAACACCUUGAACUUUGUCAAAUAACCUUUUUGACAAGUCUAGCUUUGUAGAUAGUAACACUACUAUCAGCGUCCGUCUUCCUCUUGAAGAUCCAUUUAUUUUCUAUGGCUCGCCGAUCAUCGCGCAAAUCCAUCAAAGUCCAUACUUUGUUCUCAUACAUGGAUCAUAUCUUAGAUUUCAUGGCCUAAAACCAUUUCGCGGAAUCUGGGCUCAUCAUCGCUUCCUAUAGUUCGCAAGUUCGUCAUGGUCUAGUAACAUGACUUCCAGAACAGGAUUACCGUACCACUCUGGUGCGGAUCUCACUCUGGUUUACCUACGAGAUUCGGUAGUAACUUGAUCUGAAGUUACAUGAUCAUCAUCAUUAGCUUCCUCACUAAUUGGUGUAGUACUCACAAGAACAGAUUUCUGUGAUGAACUACUUUCCAAUAAGGGAGAAGGUACAAUUACCUUAUCAAGUUUUCUACUUUCCUCCCACUCACUUCUUUCGAGAGAAACUCCUUCUCUAGAAAGUUUCCGAAUUUAGCAACGAAAGUCUUGCCUUCGGAUCUGUGAUAGAAGGUGUAUCCAAUAGUUUCCUUUGGAUAUCCUAUGAAGACACAUUUCUCCGAUUUGGGUUUGAGCUUAUCAGGUUGAAACUUUUUCACAUAAGCAUUGCAACCUCAAACUUUAAGAAACAACAGCUUAGGUUUCUUGCCAAACCAUAGUUCAUACGGUGUCGUCUCAACGGAUUUAGAUGGUGCCCUAUUUAACCUGAAUGCAGCUGUCUCUAAUGCAUAACCCCAAAACGAUAGUGGUAGAUCGGUAAGAGACAUCAUAGAUCGCACCAUAUCUAAUAAAGUACGGUUAUGACGUUCGGACACACCAUUACAUUGUGGUGUUCCAGGUGGCGUGAGUAGUGAAACUAUUUCACAUUGUUUUUAACUGAAAGCCAAACUCGUAACUCAAAUACUCUUCUCUACGAUCAGAUCGUAGAAACUUUAUUUUCUUGUUACGAUGAUUUUUCACUUCACUCUGAAAUUUUUGAACUUUUCAAAUGUUUCAGACUUAUGUUUCAUCAAGUAGAUAUACUCAUAUCUGCUCAAAUCAUCUAUGAAGAUCAGAAAAUAAUGAUACUUGUCGCGAGCCUCAAUAUUCAUCGGACCACAUACAUCAGUAUGUAUGAUUUCCAACAAAUCUGUUGCUCGCUCCAUUGUUCCGAAGAACGGAGUCUUAGUCAUCUUGCCCAUGAGGCAUGGUUCGCAAGCAUCAACUGAUUCAUAAUCAAGUGAUUCCAAAAGCCCAUCAGCAUGGAGUUUCUUCAUGCGCUUUAUACCAAUAUGACCUAAACGGCAGUGCUACCAAUAAGUUGCACUAUCAUUAUUAACUUUGCAUAUUUUGGUUUCAAUAUUAUGAUUAUGUGUGUCACUACGAUCGAGAUCCAACGAACUAUUUUCAUUGGGUGUGUGACCAUAUAAGGUUUUAUUCAUGUAAACAGAACAACAAUUUAUUCUCUUACUUAAAUGAAUAACCAUAUUACAAUAAACAUGAUCAAAUCAUAUUCAUGUUGAACGCAAACACCAAAUAACACUUAUUUAGGUUCAGCACUAAUCCCGAAAUUAUAGGGAGUGUGCGAUGAUGAUCAUAUCAAUCUUGGAACCACUUCCAACACACAUCGUCACUUCACCCUUAACUAGUCUCUGUUUAUUCUGCAACUCCCGUUUCGAGUUACUAAACUUAGCAACUGAACUAGUAUCAAAUACUGAGGGGUUUGCUAUAAACACUAGUAAAGUACACAUCAAUAAGAUGUAUAUCAAAUAUACUUAUGUUCACUUUGCCAUCCUUCUUAUCCGCCAAUCACUUGGGGUAGUUCCGCUUCUAGUGACCAGUCCCUUUGCAGUAGAAGCACUUAGUCUCAAGCUUAGGACCAGACUUGGGCUUCUUCACUUGAGCAGCAACUUGCUUGCCGUUCUUCUUGAAGUUCCCCUUUUUCCCUUUGCCCUUUUCUUGAAACUAGUGGUCUUGUUAACCAUCAACACUUGAUGUUUUUCUUGAUUUCUACCUUCGUCGAUUUCAGCAUCACGAAGAGCUUGGGAAUUAUUUUUGUCAUCCCUUACAUAUUAUAGUUCAUCACGAAGUUCUACUAACUUGGUGAUGGUGACUAGAGAAUUCUGUCAAUCACUAUCUUAUCUGGAAAAUUAACUCCCACUUGAUUCAAGUGAUUGUAGUACUCAGACAAUCUGGGCACAUGCACACUAGUUGAGCGAUUCUCCUCCAUCUUUUAGCUAUAGAACUUGUUGGAGACUUCAUAUCUCUCAACUCAGGUAUUUGCUUGAAAUAUUAACUUCAACUCCUGGAACAUCUCAUAUGCUCCAUGACGUUCAAAACGUCUUUGAAGUCCCGAUUCUAAGCCAUUAAGCAUGGUGCACUAAACUAUCAAGUAGUCAUCAUAUUGAGCUAGCCAAACGUUCAUAACGUCUGCAUCUGCUCCUGCAAUAGGUCUGUCACCUAGCGGUGCAUCAAGGACAUAAUUCUUCUGUGCAGCAAUGAGGAUAAACCUCAGAUUACGGAUCCAAUCUGCAUCAUUUCUACUAACAUCUUUCAACACAAUUUUCUCUAGGAACAUAUCAAAAUAAACACAGGGAAGCAACAACGCGAGCUAUUGAUCUACAACAUAAUUUGCAAAAUACUACCAGGACUAAGUUCAUGAUAAAUUUAAGUUCAAUUUAAUCAUAUUACUUAAGAACUCCCACUUAGAUAGGCAUCCCUCUAAUCCUCUAAGUGAUCACGUGAUCCAAAUCAACUAAACCAUGUUCGAUCAUCACGUGAGAUGGAGUAGUUUUCAAUGGUGAACAUCGUUAUGUUGAUCAUAUCUACUAUAUGAUUCACGCUCGACCUUUCGGUCUCCGUGUUCCGAGGCCAUAUCUGUAUAUGCUUGGCUCGUCAAGUAUAACCUGAGUAUUCCGCGUGUGCAACUGUUUUGCACCCGUUGUAUUUGAACGUAGAACCUAUCACAUCCGAUCAUCACGUGGUGUCUCAGCACGAAGAACUUUCGCAACGGUGCAUACUCAGGGAGAACACUUCUUGAUAAUUAGUGAGAGAUCAUCUUAUAAUGCUACCGUCAAUCAAAGCAAGAUAAGAUGCACAAAAGAUAAACAUCACAUGCAAUCAAUAUAAGUGAUAUGAUAUGGCCAUCAUCAUCUUGUGCUUGUGAUCUCCAUCUUCGAAGCACCGUCGUGAUCGCCAUCGUCACCGGCGCGACACCUUGAUCUCCAUCGUAGCAUCGUUGUCGUCUCGCCAAUAUUAUGCUUCCACGACUAUCGCUACCGCUUAGUGAUAAAGUAAAGCAUUACAGCGCGAUUGCAUUGCAUACAAUAAAGCGACAACCAUAUGGCUCCUGCCAGUUGCCGAUAACUCGGUUACAAAACAUGAUCAUCUCUUACAAUAAAAUUCAGCAUCAUGCCUUGACCAUAUCACAUCACAAUAUGCCCUGCAAAAACAAGUUAGACGUCCUCUACUUUGUUGUUGCAAGUUUUACGUGGCUGCUACGGGCUUAAGCAAGAACCAAUCUCACCUACGCAUCAAAACCACAACGAUAGUUUGUCAAAUAGACUUCGUUUUAACCUUCGCAAGGAUCGGGCGUAGCCACACUUGGUUCAACUAAAGUUGGAGAGACUGUCGCCCGCAAGCCACCUAUGUGCAAAGCACGUCGGGGGAACCGGUCUCGCGUAAGCGUACGCGUAAUGUUGGUUCGGGUCGUCUCGUCCAACAAUGCCGCCGAACCAAAGUAUGACAUGCUAGUAGGUAGUAUGACUUAUAUCGCCCACAACUCACUUGUGUUCUACUCGUGCAUAUAACAUCAACAUAAAUAACCUAGGCUCGGAUGCCACUGUUGGGAAACGUAGUAAUUUCAAAAAAAAUCCUACGCACACGCAAGAUCAUGUGAUGCAUAGCAACGAGAGGGGAGAGUGCUGUCUACGUACGCACGCAGACCGACUGCGGAAGCGUUGACACAAUAUAGAGGAAGUAGUCGUACGUCUUCACGAUCCAACCGAUCAAGCACCGAAACUACGGCACCUCCGAGUUCGAGCACACGUUCAGCUCGAUGACGAUCCCCGGACUCCGAUCCAGCAAAGUGUCGGGGAAGAGUUCCGUCAGCACGACGGCGUGGUGACGAUCUUGAUGUACUACAGCAGCAGGGCUUCGCCUAAACUCCGCUAUAGUAUUAUCGAGGACUAUGGUCGCUGGGGCGCCGCACACGGCUAAGGAAUAGAUCACGUGGAUCAACUUGUGUGUCUAUGGGGUGCCCCCUGCCUCAGUAUAUAAAGGAUGGAGGAGGAAGAGGCCGGCCAAGGCUAUUGGUGCGGCCAGGAUGGGAGUCCUACUAGGACUCCAAGUCCUAGUAGGAGUCCAUCAAGAGGGGAGGAAGGGAGAAGGAAGUGGAGGAGAAGGAGAGGUGGCCGGCCCCCUUUUCUCUAGUCCAAUUCGGACCAAAGGGGAGGGGGGCGCAGCAGCCCCUUGGCCCUUUCUCCUCUUCCCACUAAAGCCCAUCAAGGCCCAUUGCUUCUCUCGUAACUACCCGGUACUCCGAAAAAUACCCGAAUCACUCGGAACCUUUCCGAUGUCCGAGUAUAGUCGUCCAAUAUAUCGAUCUUUACGUCUCGACCAUUUCGAGACUCCUCGUCAUGUCCUCGAUCUCAUCCGGGACUCCGAACUCCUUCGGUACAUCAAAACAUGUAAACUCAUAAUAUAACUGUCAUCGUAACCUUAAGCGUGCGGACCCUACGGGUUCGAGAACAAUGUAGACAUGACCGGGACACGUCUCCGGUCAAUAACCAAUAGCGGGACCUGGAUGCCCAUAUUGGCUCCUACAUAUUCUACGAAGAUCUUUAUCGGUCAGACCGCAUAACAACAUACAUUGUUCCCUUUGUCAUCGGUAUGUUACUUGCCCGAGAUUCGAUCGUCGGUAUUCCUAUACCUAGUUCAAUCUCGUUACCGGCAAGUCUCUUUACUCGUUCCGUAAUACAUCAUCUCACAACUAACAUAUUAGUUGUAAUGCUUGCAAGGCUUUAUGUGAUGUGCAUUACCGAGAGGGCCCAGAGAUACCUCUCCGACAAUCGGAGUGACAAAUCCUAAUCUCGAAAUACGCCGACCCAACAUGUACCUUUGGAGACACCUGUAGUGCUCCUUUAUAAUCACCCAGUUACGUUGUGACGUUUGGUAGCACCCAAAGUGUUCCUUCGGCAAAUGGGAGUUGCAUAAUCUCAUAGUCAUAGGAACAUGUAUAAGUCAUGAAGAAAGCAAUAGCAACAUACUAAAUGAUCGGGUGCUAAGCUAAUGGAAUGGGUCAUGUCAAUCAGAUCAUUCAACUAAUGACGUGAUCCCGUUAAUCAAAUAACAACUCCUUUGUCUAUGGUUAGGAAACAUAACCAUCUUUGAUUAACAAGCUAGUCAAGUAGAGGCAUACUAGUGACACUCUGUUUGUCUAUGUAUUCACACAUGUAUUAUGUUUCCGGUUAAUACAAUUCUAGCAUGAAUAAUAAACAUUUAUCAUGAUAUGAGGAAAUAAAUAAUAACUUUAUUAUUGCCUCUAGGGCAUAUUUCCUUCAAUAAACACUAGUAAAGUACACAUCAAUAACAUGUAUAUCAAAUAUACUUAUGUUCACUUUGCCAUCCUUCUUAUCCGCCAAUCACUUGGGGUAGUUCCGCUUCCAGUGACCAGUCCCUUUGCAGUAGAAGCACUUAGUCUCAGGCUUAGGACCAGACUUGGCCUUCUUCACUUGAGCAGCAACUUGCUUACUGUUCUUCUUGAAGUUCCCCUUCUUUCCUCUGCCCUUUUGUUGAAACUAGUGGUCUUGUCUACCAUCAACACUUGAUGUUUUUCUUGAUUUCUACCUUCGUCAAUUUCAGCAUUACGAAGAUCUUGGGAAUCGUUUCCGUUAUCCCUUGCAUAUUAUAGUUCAUCACAAAGUUCUACUAACUUGGUGAUGAUGACUAGAGAAUUCUGUCAAUCACUAUCUUAUCUGGAAGAUUAACUCCCACUUGAUUCAAGCGAUCGUAGUACCCAGACAAUCUAAGCACAUGCUCACUAGUUGAGCGAUUCUCCUCCAUCUUUUAGCUAUAGAACUUGUUGGAGACUUUAUAUCUCUCAACUCGGGUAUUUACUUGAAAUAUUAACUUCAACUCCUGAAACAUCUCAUAUGGUCCAUGACGUUCAAAACGUCUUUGAAGUCCCGAUUCUAAGCCGUUUAAGCAUGGUGCACUAAACUAUCAAGUAGUCAUCAUAUUGAGCUAGCCAAACGUUCAUAACGUCUGCAUCUGCUCCUGCAAUAGGUCUGUCACCUAGCGGUGCAUCAAGGAUAUAAUUCUUCUGUGCAGCAAUGAGGAUAAACCUCAGAUCACGGAUCCAAUCCGCAUCAUUGCUACUAACAUCUUUCAACACAAUUUUCUCUAGGAAUAUAUCAAAAUAAACACAGGGAAACAACAACGCGAGCUAUUGAUCUACAACAUAAUUUGCAAAAUACUACCAGGACUAAGUUCAUGAUAAAUUUAAGUUCAAUUUAAUCAUAUUACUUAAGAACUCCCACUUAGAAAGACAUCCCUCUAAUCUUAUAAGUGAUCACGUGAUCCAAAUCAACUAAACCAUAUCCGAUCAUCACGUGAGAUGGAGUAGUUUCAAUGGUGAACAUCACUAUGUUGAUCAUAUCUGCUACAUGAUUCACGCUCGACCUUUCGGUCUCCGUGUUCCGAGGCCAUAUCUGUAUAUGCUUGGCUCGUCAAGUAUAACCUGAGUAUUCCGUGUGUACAACUGUUUUGCACCCGUUGUAUUUGAACGUAGAGCCUAUCACACCCGAUCAUCACGUGGUGUCUCAGCACGAAGAACUUUCACAACGGUGCAUACUCAGGGAGAACACUUCUUGAUAAUUAGUGAGAGAUCAUCUUAAAAUGCUACCGACAAUCAAAGCAAGAUAAGAUGCAUAAAAGAUAAACAUCACAUGCAAUCAAUAUAAGUGAUAUGAUAUGGCCAUCAUCAUCUUGUGCUUGUGAUCUCCAUCUUCGAAGCAUCGUCAUGAUCACCAUCGUCACCGGCGCGACACCUUGAUCACCAUCGUAGCAUCGUUGUCGUCUCGCCAAUCUUAUGCUUCUAGGACUAUCGCUACCGCUUAGUGAUAAAGUAAAGCAUUACAGCGCAAUUGCUUUGCAUACAAUAAAGCGACAACCAUAUGGCUCAUGCCAGUUGCCGAUAACUUGGUUACAAAACAUGAUCAUCUCAUACAGUAAAAUUUAGCAUCAUGUCUUGACCAUAUCACAUCACAACAUGCCCUACAAAAACAAGUUAGACGUCCUCUACUUUGUUGUUGCAAGUUUUACGUGGCUGCUACGGGCUUAAGCAAGAACCAAUCUUACCUACGCAUCAAAACCACAACGAUAGUUUGUCAAGUUGGUGCUGUUUUAACCUUCGCAAGGAUCGGGCGUAGCCACACUCGGUUCAACUAAAGUUGGAGAAACUGUCACCCGCUAGCCACCUUUGUGCAAAGCACGUCGGGAAAACCGAUCUCGCGUAAGCGUACGCGUAAUGUCGGUCCGGGCCGCUUCGUCCAACUAUACCGCUGAACCAAAGUAUGACAUGCUGCUAAGCAGUAUGACUUAUAUCGCCCACAACUCACUUGUGUUCUACUCGUGCAUAUAACAUCAACACAUAAAACCUGGCUCUGAUACCACUGUUGGGGAACGUAGUAAUUUCAAAAAAUUUCCUACGCACACGCAAGAUCAUAGUGAUGCAUAGCAACGAGACGGGAGAGUGUGAUCUACAUACCCUUGUAGACCGACAGCGGAAGCGUUAGCAUAACGCGGUUGAUGUAGUCGUAUGUCUUCACGGUCCGAUCGAUCAAGCACCGAAACUACGGCACCUCUGAGUUUUAGCACACGUUCAGCUUGAUGACGAUCCCCGGACUUCGAUCCGGCAAAGUGUCGGGGAAGAGUUCCGUCAGCACGACGGUGUGGUGGCGAUCUUGAUGUUCUACCGUCGCAGGGCUUCGCCUAAGCACCGCUACAAUAUUAUCGAGGAUUAUGGUGGAAGGGGGCACCGCACACGGCUAAGAAUAUGAUCACGUGGAUCAACUUGUGUGUCUAGGGGUGCCCCCUGCCCCCGUAUAUAAAGGAUCAAGGGGAGGAGGCCGGCUAGGAGAAGGGGGGAAAGGGGGGAAGAGGGGAAGGAACGGAGAGAGGGGCCGCGCCCCAAACCCCUUGUCCAAUUCGGACUGGGCUUGGGAGGGGCGCGCGCCACCUCCUGGUCCUUUCCACUAAGGCCCAUUAAGGCCCAUUGCUUCUUCCUUGUAUUCCCGUAACUCCCCGGUACCUUCGAAAAUACCCGAAUCACUCAGAACCUUUCCGAUGUCCGAAUAUAGUCGUCCAAUAUAUCGAUUUUUACGUCUCGACCAUUUCGAGACUCCUCGUCAUGUCCCCGAUCUCAUCCAGGACUCCGAACUCCUUCGGUACAUCAAAACUCAUAAACUCAUAAUAUAACUGUCAUCGAAACCUUAAGCGUGCGGACCCUACGGGUUCGAGAACAAUGUAGACAUGACCGAGACACGUCUCCGGUCAAUAACCAAUAGCGGAACCUGGAUGCUCAUAUUGGCUCCCACAUAUUCUACGAAGAUCUUUAUCGGUCAGACCGCAUAACAACAUACGUUGUUCCCUUUGUCAUCGGUAUGUUACUUGCCCGAGGUUCGAUCGUCGGUAUCUUAAUACCUAGUUCAAUCUUGUCAUUGGCAAGUCUCUUUACUCGUUUCAUAAUACAUCAUCUUGCAACUAACUUAUUAGUUGUAAUGCUUGCAAGGCUUAUGUGAUGUGCAUUACCGAGAGGGCCCAGAGAUACCUCUCCGACAAUCGGAGUGACAAAUCCUAAUCUCGAAAUACGCCAACCCAACAUUCACCUUUGGAGACACCUGUAGAGCUCCUUUAUAAUCACCCAGUUACGUUGUGACGUUUGGUAGCACACAAAGUGUUCCUCCGGUAAACGGGAGUUGCAUAAUCUCAUAGUCAUAGGAACAUGUAUAAGUUAUGAAGAAAGCAAUAACAACAUACUAAACGAUCGAGUGCUAAGCUAACGGAAUGGGUCAAGUCAAUCACAUCAUUCUUCUAAUGAUGUGAUCCUGUUAAUCAAAUAAUAACUCUUUUGUUCAUGGUUAGGAAACAUAACCAUCUUUGAUUAACGAGCUAGUCUAGUAGAGGCAUACUAGUGACACUCUGUUUGUCUAUAUAUUCACACAUGUAUUAUGUUUCCGGUUAAUACAAUUCUAGCAUGAAUAAUAAACAUUUAUCAUGAUAUAAGAAAAUAAAUAAUAACUUUAUUAUUGCCUCUAGGGCAUAUUUCCUUCAAGUAUCGCCGCCUACGUUUCCCAAAUGAGUUACCCGUACGGUCCAUGCAUACCCGGAGACGUUGGUGCGUUCACACUUCUCAUGGAUCUUUGUAUUAGCCUGAUAGUGUUGGGAUCUCGAAAUUUUGCUGUAGGUGAAGAAGGGAUUCCUAUCUCGAAAUUCUGUUGUAGGUGAAGCGCCUCCUGUAGGCCAUGGAGAUGACCAGGGAUGCAUUGGGAGGCGGGCGACAUAAAGCGCUGGAAAAAAGUAUUGUAUUAUGUAUGGUCCUCAUUCGCUUUUUGGAAGGUUGUAUAGUCGUUUUGAUACAUAAGAUAUAAUUUCAGGUUCUACAUACAUAUUGGUUUGAGAUGUUUUCAUUUUUUAUCAUUUCAAUGAACAAUGCAAUAUGGAUUUGUUUUAUCAUGCCAAUUUGAGGCAUUUUAUAUGGGCUGGUUGGAGGAAUAUUAUUUUUUGACGCACUAUGUGUGAACAUGUUGAAGGGGCAUGACCAUCAAUGAGCUUGUGGCAGAAGUUUGAAUGGAAGUAGCUCCUAUCUUUUGUGUACUUAUUUUCAGUCUAUCAAUCAAAGGGUAGAAUGAUUACACGUGCAGUUAUUUUGGUAUGAGCUUUGACAAGGGAUGCCGAUUGUUAUGUUGAAGAGGCUAAAAUCUUCCUCGGUAAGUGAUGUGCAUUAUGCAUCUGAUAAAAAAGAGAGGCUUUAGGGAGUUGAUUGUGCUCAUGAGAGGUGGUCCUGAUAAUAGGCUUGCUAUAACAUGCCAUAUUUAACACGUAAUGUUUUUUACCAACCAAAUGUUCACGUUUUAGAUUAUAAAGAAUGAUGACCUCAACGACAAAGAGCUCUAAGAACUCGGUUCUGAAACUUUUGGUUAGUCUGAGUAAUGAAAUGUGACCCUACUGGAAGUUCUACCUCAUUUCAGUUCUUCUCUUUUCCAUUUAAUUAUCUAUUUCAUUCCAAGCUAACUGUCUUAUAUACCUAUAUCUUUCAAUGCAAGACUACACGAUGACUAUGGUCUAUGGGAUAUCAAGCUCCUUCAAAUAAUCUGCACCAGUUCUUCUGGAGAAUAAUGUGUAUGCAUGGUCUACAAUGAAGUUUACAAGAUAGAUUCACUUACUCAAAGAUUCAGCCUAACAUUUUCCAUAAGAAUUAUGUAUGUUAUACCAACUCUCAGUAAUCUCUACUACUAAUGUCUUAGUUGGUAGUCUCGCCUCACUCCUCCUCAUCCCACCACUCCUAUCUUUCGCCCACCUUUGACAUCAUCACAUCACAGCAUUGGGCUGGCCCAUUAACGUGUAUGUGAACGCAAUCCUCCCAUCGCCUGCCCUCCUCGUGAUAGUCCCGACGUCCUCGCGCUGCCGUCCUCUUCUCCCUGAUCUCCUCUACCAGCGUGCCUUCCUUGCGAUCCUCCCGACGUGUCCUCGCGUCGCCGUCCUCUUCUCCCCAAACUCCUCUACCAGGGGGACUCCUCUAUGACCCAGGCAGAGCGAACAUUGUACGCAGGUUUUUUGGCUUUCACCGGUUCGUUCUCUACCCCUCCUCCAUGACUCCCUUGCCAUCAAUUUUUUUCGACGUCUAAAUGCAAUUCCUCCGUGGGGAAGUAUGGUGUGAAAGAGAGAGGCCGCGAUGGCGAAGGUGAGGUGGGCGUCAUCCCGUUUUAAAGGAGAGGGCUCGAGCGAGAAAUGUCUCACUACGGCGAAAACCGAACGGAAGGGGAGGGUCCGACAGGAAAACAUAAGGGUGUGUCAUGGGGUGUAGUUUUUAUGUUGCGUAUGCGUGUUGGAGAUAACAUGGUUCAUAGUUUAGACAUUUUUCUCUCCAGUAUGGUCUGGAUUUGUGGGAGCCUGGACUGUCGCAUUGUUACAUUUUUCAUACAGUGUAUCGUAAAGUGUAUCAUGCAUACAGUGAAAACAAAUUCCCUUUGUUAUAUAUAGUAUAGCCCUCCAAUAUGGUCGUGUUUAUGCUACACUAGAUCGCGGGAACCUGCCGUCGACCUUGAGGUUGGUGUAUGAGAGAGAAAUAAGCUUCAAUAUCAAUAAUUUGUUUGAUUCAUUUAUAUACAGUAUAGCCCGUAGCAACACACGGGCGUUUUACUAGUAAUAUUAUUGGGAGAGCGCCGGACCGGACAUGCACUUGCGUAUUAAACAUAUAUGUGGGUCAAUAAAUUAAUCGAUAUUACAUUUUGAUCAAAUCUCCCUCUCUACUGUAAGCCGAUUUUAUGUUUUUUUUUUGCAAAAGCAUUAUGGUGUUUACUCAUUAGCGAAGCAUGGGCCGCAAGUUGAACACUGCAUAUAUCCCCCACACAGAAAAAUACAUAAUUAGACGUUUUGUAAAGAUGUCGGCUUUAAAAAACAAUUCUUCCUCGUGUUAGGGAUAUUUGACUAUACUUUUUUUAGAAACAAUAAUAAUUGGAUUACGAGUGUCAGAAUGCGAUGAAUUUUUAUCAUGUUGUAACACACGACAUAGAUGUAAUUUUUAAUACUUUUGAUGUUCCUUAUAUUACCAUGAUAUUUGAUAAAUAGAUCGAUUUUUUUCCAAGAAAAACAUUGUCAAUCAGAUCAAUUUACUCUGAAUCAUACCCCAUGUUCUAAGCUUUAUGUUGUGGUGAUCAAAUUAUGCAUUUUUUUUGCAUCAGCGACCAUUCUUCCUUGACAUAGUUCCUUCCCCAGCAAAUCACGGUUCAUAAGAACUGGUAUUUUUCCACCAUUGCAACUCACGAACAUUUGUGCUAGUAAAGUACAAAGAGAUAAAUUUCCAAAACAAAUACAGAUCAUUACUGAAUUAAUAUCCUUGACUCAACUUGACACAUCAGUCCACAUGGAGUGAAAAACGUUCUGAAAGGCUGAAACAAACUCGUAAUAAACCGCGCGUAUUAAACACAUACCAUUAUGUUAGAUCAGAGGGUGGGGGACGUUAGUUAAUCGGUUAGUCCAUGUGCAGCCGCCCGACGGCAGUAUGACCGGCGGCGGCGCCGGCCGGCGAGCUGCUGUGCCUACCAAAUUUACACACACAUGCUUGCCAGCAUGUACGCACGACACGAUCACGAGUUCGAGUCCACCGCUUCGUCGACGUCGUCGUCGUCGUCGAUGCCGGAUCCUCCGGCGCCCCUCCGUGGCUGCCGUGUCCGCCUGCUCUUCGGCUUCAGUGCCGGUGCCCUGCGCCGCCUCCGGAGCGCGGCGACGGUGUCGGUGAACGCCCGGAGUAUGUCCUUGUGCACCGCCCGGUCGUUGAGCUGGAGGUAGCAGAACAGCAGCUCCUCCAUGAAGUCCCAGUCCACCGCCGGCGCCGGACGCGUGCCGACGCGGGCGGCCUCCACCCUCGCGUGCGCGUCCGCCAUCUCCCGCAUGGACCGCCGGAAGUCCUCGUACGGCGCGACGGAGAGCGUCACCACGGCCACGCCGCAGCCCCCGCCGGAGACCACCUUCAUGGCAGCCAUCCCGGCCAAGACGCCGCCCCCCUCGCUCUCAGAGCCACCGUCAUCCUCCUGCGUCGACGAGCCGUCCUCAUCGUCGCCGUCGUCGUCGUCGUCACGAACGGCGGUCGGGCCGACUCUGAGAGACCGGAAGUUGACGGCAAGAGCGCCGUCUUCAUCGUCGUCGUCGUCGUCGCGGUUACGGGCGGCGACGUGGCGUUGGCGGACGCCGGAGAAGGAGUUGGUCCGGGGGUGCAUGCACGCGGAGAGCAACGAGCCAGCGGCGGCGGCGGCGGAGGGGGAAGGGGAUGGGUUGUGGUUGGCGCUCGGACGGCCAUGGCCAUGGAGCUUCUUGAGGGCCUUGGGGAAGUGGAGGAAUGACUUGAGCCUUGCGCGCUUCUUGCUCCUCCUCUUCUUCUUCUUGGACUCAUCUUCCAUCCCCUCCAUGUUUCUCUUGAUCUCUUGGUACGCUGAGACUUGAGAGUGCUGGUGUUAGAUAGAGUGGCAAAUGUAGGUUGUGAGAGGAUGGCUGGGGGAGGAAGGAGUUACAUAGGAGUAUUUAUUUGUGAGUUAUAUGUGUACUUAUUUAGUACUUGCACUGGUUAAGGUAUUUACUUAAUUUGUUGACUUUUUACCAACUACAACUUAUUUAUUUCUUCUAGAGAUUGCCUUUUUUAGCAGAAUUUUAGAGAUUGCUAACUGCCCUUACGGUGCGUUCGGAGUACAUAUAGCAUGGUGUGAGUAGUAUUAAUAAGGGUGUGUUUAGGGCACAUUUAGAUGUGUCCUAGUUAUUGCACAUCUAAGUGAGUGAAUCAAGUAGAAAGAAAAAAGUUAGAAAGAAAAAGAAAAUAUUCACACGAAUCUCAACAUAAGAUUAGUGACAUAGGACUUAGAUGUGCAAUACUUAUGGCACAUCUAGAUGUGCUUUAGCAAAACUGUAUUAAUAAAGCCCUAAAUGUCGUCCCUCCUGGGAUGGCAUGCUCAGUUGGUUACCUUCCUUUUGUGUGUGGAGGGGUGUGUUUGUGUUGAUAUUGAUUUAAUACCUCGAAUAUGAUUAAUUCAAUUAAAAACCAACAUUUUUCAUGUGCUUCGGGUUGGGCCGGGCUCGGGCUUGAGAUAUUGACUUCGGGCUUUGUCAAGCCCGGUCCGAACCUGGCCUGGCCCGAAGUAUGAUUAGGUGUUGGUUAGAGUACUAGACGUAUCAUGUGUGUUUGUAUUUUGCUAGCUCUGUUUUUUUAGAAAAAAAUCUGAUCGAGGUUCCUAAACCACCGAACGACCAUUACCGACGCAAGAACAACCUGCUUCUGUGUUGCUGUCGUCAUUUUCCUACCGAAGCCGGCUUGACCUUAUUGAUGAAAGUCGAGAAGUCUUCAUGCAUGUAUCCCUAAGGACUAACACCCUGGAGUUGCAGUCGUCGCCGUUGAACUCUUGAAUAGAUCUUAAGCAACUAACACCAUAUCUCGCCAUCGCACAUGCACGACGAGAAACCCUAACCCUGUAUCCCCAAAGACUUGAGGAGGAUCGAAGUUCGACGAACAAUCUCAAAGAACAAGCGCCGCCAUCCGUAGAGCCAGGGCUAGAAAACCUAACCUAAACUACUACCCGGAGCGGAGGCACGGAGAUUCCCCUUCCCGCCACCGGCCACCGGAUGGAUAGGCAAUGGAGAGGUGAAUCCACAAGCUUGUCGACGAAGCCUGGAGAUGAAAGUUUGCCCUAGCUGUUGAGGCGGAUGGAAGGAAAACUUCUUCAAAUUUGAGUUGUUAUUGCCAGAAGAAUAUGAGGUGCUUGUGUGACUAUUAAUUUAAACGUUCGUCUGGUGGUCAUAAAUAUAGUGUAUGUACAUGUCUUUGUCAGAAUGAAUGUACAUAUAUUUUACAAGCUAUUGUGUCUAUUUUAUUUAUCAGAAAAUACCAAUGCUAUAUCUUUUUUCCAUUUCCCAGACGUAGGGUAGGGAACAUAAAAAUAGUAGCGGUAUACACCAUUAACUCCUUUCUUCAACGCGGACGCUUAACAUGGGCUCCAAGACAUCGAUCCUAGUCCUUUUCCCUGAUCCCACGUCAAAACUAGGGAAAUUGCUAGCGUCGAAGCAAAACAAGUCGUCAGGCACCGCACCUCAUCCCUUUUUUUCUCUCACUCACCAGAAUCACUGGUGACCAAUGAUGUCCUAGAUGCGAGAGAAAACCCAGGAUUUAUACUAGUAUAAACGCUUAGGGCAUACAAUGGUGGCAUAUGGAUACAUAUGCCCUAUAACAAAAAGUAAUUUAAGGCAUUUACAUUCAUUUUUUCUUUCCAAUGCAAGCUAACACUAGUAGGCCUUAUUAAAAAAUAGAAAAUAAAGACUCUAGUACACAUACAUCUCUAUUUUUUACUUCAACCUUUUCAGCUUUUGUCACUGGACCACACUUUUUCUUUUCAAGCACCCGCCUCCUGAAGAGGAUCCCGCUUCCCUAUUCAAACCUACUUUACGUCAUAUCCGAUCCUAUAUGGCAUGCGAGACAUCACCUUGAGGCUAUGCAUUGUACACGCCCUUAGCUACAUGCGUUCGGGAAGUAGAUGCUUACGAUUUUCUUUCAUAUUUUUCUAAAAAUCGCUAGGAAUCUAUGGGUAGAUGUUAGCGUUGGAGGGAGGGACUCCUACACAGACUCUGCGUAGAAAUUCUUGAUGGACCCCAAUAUCCAGGGAACGUCAAAUUUUUAGGGCUCCUAGUGAACGCCCUCAAAGCCAUCAGAUCACGAUCGAAUAUAUGGCAAUUUCUCUGCGCAACGUGGCAAUUUUUGUGCCUUUUUUUUGUGACAUGACAACUUUCAACUUGGUAUGGCAUGGCAAGUUUGAAGCGUUCGCUCGAAAAACACUCACAGAGAAUGUUUCCCUAAUUUUCUAACUUGUAAUAAUGCCUACAUCCAUAAGCAAAUGAAGUAGCCCAGUAGGAGUUCCUCACUCCUAAACAAGCGAAAAUUCUAUUUCCCUUAUUGCUCAAGCCCCUAAACAAGCGCUCAGUGUCGAAGAUGGCCUUAUUAUGUUCAAAGAGCAUCCGAAAUGCAGCAAUAUGAGACAUCAGUUGUAUUGAUGGUACUUCCUCCGUAAAUAAAUAUAAGAGCGUUUAGAUCAUUAAAGUAGUGAUCUAAACGCUCUUAUUUUUGUAAUGAUCUAAAUGCUCUUACAUUUGUUUACAAGAGAGUACUUUUUUGACGUGGUUGUAUGCAUAGUACUUCCUCCGGUCCUUUUUAGUUCGUAUACAAGAUUUGACUGAAGUCAAGCCUCGUAAAGUUUGACCAACUUUAUAGAAAAAAUUAUCAACAUUCACAAUCUGAAAUCAAUAUCAAUAGAUGUGUCAUGACUUAAAGUUUCAUAUUGUAUAAUUUUAGCAUGGCAGAUGUUGAUAUUUUUUCAUAUAAAUAUGGUCAAACUUUGUGAAGUUUGACUUUAGAGAAUUCUAAUAUGCAGAGUAAAAAGGACCGGAGGGAGUACUGGUACAGUAGCUUUUUAAGAGCACGAGCACCAGUUGUGCGUCUCGAGGGAAAAGAACGGGGGAGGUGUGGUGUCGUGGAGUAAAGGAGACCGUCGUCCAUCAUCUAGUUGACGGCUCAAGGUCGCAUAAAUCAGAACACCGUUUCUCGCUCCUAGGCCAACAGCAGUAGAGCCGCAGUGGAAGCAAACCGCAAAGCACAGCAUUCCAUUAGUGCCAUUCUUUUCACCCCAUUUUGAGCUUCUUUUUUUUAGCCAAAAGGAAUUUCACGAAAAUCAGUUCGCUUUCCACGGCAACAUGCAAAGGUUCAUGCGUUGCAGGCGGUGCCUAUCUGGCUAUCAAUCUAACCCCCGUUUCAGAAACGUAGAGUGGCUCAUGGGAGAAGAGCAAUCGACACAGCUGUGAGUGAGUCUUGCUUGUACUUAUGCCUGGCAUCAACUUAAAAUCGACCUACAUUUUUUCGCACAGACACGAUCGAUCAGCAGGGUACACCCGAUCCCAGAUCUACCCCGGCACAGAGCAACGAACACAAUCCGAUUUACAGGAUCAACUAGAUAUAUACCACAUCAUACACACGCAUAUGUCGCUAGGAACAGAGACGACACCUGG